UGGUUUAACAUCUCUCUUUAUAUCCAUGGCAGCCAUGUUGACCUGUUUCUGCUCGGGAAACUUCCUGAUGCUUAAGGGCCAACUAAAAUAUGCUGCAAUUCUGGUAUAUGCACUCACCGGCCUGCUAAUGGUGUACUUUGUUCUGAAGCACUUUCCAUUAUUUAUUGAUCUUCUGAAGGCUACAUUUCGUAAGGUGCCUGAGCGUAUAUACAAGGAGUAUCUGUUGAUUGCUUUGGUCUGGGCUCAAGGAGGACCUUAUGCCAUGGUGAUGAUGGCCAGAUCUGAUGAUGAUGUAAUUUUUCAGUUGUUUUGUGUCUUUCAAAUAUAUAUAUAUGACUGUAAUCUUCCUCCUGGAGUAUAGAUUCUUAUCAAAUUGAUUGAUAACACAAACAAUGGUGACCUCAUUAUGCCUCCCAUUCGCCCCUGCAUUCCCCUAAACUCCUCCAAAGCUCUAUUCAUCUCUCCAUGUCUCAUGUACCCAUCAAUUAUUGCUGUCCAAAAAACCAUAUCUGACCCGACUAAAAACAGCACCAGCUUCCUCAACCAGUCUCUGAUCACUAUAAGAGCAGAUCAUCACGGUGAACGCGAUAACGUCUUCAGGCACUUCAUCAAACAUCCGACGUGCAUCCCCUGAUUCCCCUCAUUUUCCGUGUAACUCCAUCAUCCUCAACUUCACAAAACUUUUGAGCUGGACCCCAGCUUCAUAGCCCUUCUGUGGAUCUCUUUCCCCUCCCUUAAAGCCGAUUGGGAUCCACGUGCUUUCAAAAUGGAGGCCAUUAAGUAAUUAUCAGGCAGAAUUGACUCAUGGAGCAUUCUGGAAUACAGCCGAAUGCCACAAAGAUGGCUUGCUUCCUGAUGAAGCAAAGCCAUCAAUGACAGAAGUAUAUGGAUUGACAGUUGGGUUGUGACUGUACUGAAAAAUCAAAAUCCCAGAGGCCCAGAGAAUCCAGUGAAUGGCGUGGCAUUUGGAUCUGGUAGAGAAAAUAUCAAAUUAAUAUUAUUAAAGUUCUAAAUUUUCAGACAAUAAUAAUAAAUAAUGGUUACAUUAAAGAGAAAAAAAAUAAGGAUUAAAAAAAGCUUGACCGAGUCACAAGAAACUACUUAAUUUAUUUAAUACAUAAUAAUAAAAGAAAAGUGGAGAACAUGAUUCUUUCCUACUAAAAUAAAUAAUAAAUAAUAAAAAAUGAGAUGAGAUCAUAUAUAUAAUUAAAAUAAUAUAUGAUAAUUAUAAAUAUUAAUUUAAAUAUAAUUGUAAUAAGAGGGAAGCAGCUCAAAGACUAUGAAGGGUCCUGGGAAUGACCAUUUAUGAGGAGUUGAGUAUGGAUUAGGAGGACUUGGUUGAUGUGUUUGGAUUUGUGCAAUAGAGAGAUUAUUUGUUUUGGAUGUAUUAGGAUGAAUGUACCAUAUAUCAAUAAGCAUAUAUAUAUAUCAUACUUUGAAGUAUUUAUCUAUAAUAUAAAACAAUGUAUUUAUUUAUUUAUUUAUUUUUUAGGUUAUUACUAUCUUAUAAAUGCAAACUAUGCAAACUAUUUAUAGGAUAUCAUUUAAAUAAAUAUAAUCCCAAAUUAAUGCUAAAAUAUUACAUUGAUGAAGAGUGGAAGUGGCUCAAAGUAUACUUUUUUUUUUUUGUUUUAUUUAUUUAUUUAGGUUUUAAUUUGUAUAUAAAAAAAUAACAAUUAUUCAAUUUUUUUUUUUUACAACAUUGUUUAGGAGCGUUAGAUGAGACAUUCAUUAUGAAGAAUGUACUAGAUACUAAACGCAUAUAUAUUGUAUUAUGAAGUAUUUAUUUGUAUUAUUACAUAAUAUAAUUAAAUUUCUUUGUUAGGUUAUUACUACCUUGUAGAUAUGGACUAUGCAAAUAAUGAGAAAUUCCUUACUCCAUUUAUAGGAUAUCAUUUAAAUAAAUAGAGGGGCAAAAUGAUAGAAGUGUAUAUUUCAUUCCAUUUCCUCCAUGAUUAGGAAACACUUGAAAGGUAACCAACUUCAUUCUGAUUUUGUUUCCUAUAUGUUAUAAGUAAACACUUCAAUAGAAUCCAUGAUUUUGAUUGUCUUCUCUUUUCUUUCCUUAUCUGGUUCUCUUUCCUAUGAUUUUAUUUAUAUAGAACUAGUAAACACGCUCUAAGGAUCAAAUUAGAACAAAGAUUAAAGAUAGUUCUGAUACUUUUUUUUUCUUUAAACAUCAAAUAGGAACAAAGGACGUCAAAGUUUUGAAGCAUGUACAAUCAAUUCUACAUCAAUAAUAAUCACUAAUGUUUUUAUCUAAUUUUGAAUGUCAUAAUACAAAGUAACCUUCAUUUUUAUCAGCUUGGUAGUUUCAGCGUUCAGAGCCAUCAUCACUUCCCAAAUUGACGUUCAGAUGUGGCAUUCUCAGUUUUGGCGUUCAGAGCCAUCAUCGGUUUCCAGUUUGACGUUCAGAGUCAUAUAUUCAGUUUGACAUUCAGAGCCGUCAUGAUUUAUCCACAGUUCAGGUUUUUAGAGCCAUCAUUCACAGUUCAGGCGUUCAGAGCCAUCGUCCACAUUAAGGCGUACAGAGUCAUCAUUUCUCCAUAGUUUGGCAUUUAGAACCCGUCGCUCACAGUUUGGCAUUCAGAGCUGCCAUGAUUUAUUCACAGUUUAGGCGUUCAGAGCCGUCAUGAUUUAUCCAAGAUUCAGGCAUUUGGAGCCAUCGUCCACGUUCAAACGUACGAAGUCAUCAUUUCUCCAUAGUUUGGUAUUUAGAGCCCGUCGCUCACAGUUUGGCAUUCAGAGCUGUCAUUCACAGUUUGGCAUUCAGAGCCGCCAUGAUUUAUCCACAGUUCAGGCGUUCAGAGCUAUUGUCCACAUUCAAGUGUUUAGAGCCAUCGUUCACAUUCAGGCGUUCAAAGUCAUCAUCUCUCCAUAGUUUGGUAUUUAGAGUCCAUCGCUCACAAUUUGGCGUUCAGAGCCAUUGUUCACAGUUUGGCAUAUAGAGUCGUCAUGAUUUAUCCACAGUUUAGGCGUUCAGAUCCAUAGUCCACAUUCAGGCGUUCAGAGCCAUCAUUUCUCCAUAGUUUGGUGUUUAGAGCCAUUGUUCACGGUUUGGCAUUCAGAGUCGUCAUGAUCUCUCUACAGUUUGGCGUUCAGAGCCAUCGUUCACAUUUAGGCUUUUAGAGCCAUCAUCUCUCCGCAAUUUGGUAUUUAGAGUCAUUGUUCACAGUUUGGCAUUCAGAUCCAUUGUUCACAGUCAGACAUACACCAUUUCCUAACAGUUUGGCUUUCAGAGCCAUCGUAUCCUUAGUUUGGCAUUCAAAGCCACCAUUUCUCCAUAAUUUAGCGUUCAAAGUCAUCGUUCAUGGUCAGACAUUCAGAGCCAUUGGUUAGCUUGGCAUUGAGAGCCAUCAUAUAUUUAGUUCGACAUUUAGAGCAGUCAGCUUGGCAUUUAGAGCCAUUAGUCAGCUUAGCAUUCAGAGCCUUGAGCUCACGACCUCGAGUCAUUCUUCUUAUUUACGGCCCAAAGUCAUUCUUAGCAUUCGGAGCCUUGAGCUCAUGACCCAGAGUCGUUUUCACUCAUUCUUAGCAUUCACAGCCUUAAGCUCAUGACCCAGAAUCGUUUUCACCCUUUAGGUGUUCAGAGCCACUACUUUCUUUCAUGGGUGUUUAGAAUUGUAGGCCUUUAGAUCUCCCUUUGGCAUUUAGAGCCACAAUUUUCUUUCAUAAGCGUUCAAAGCCAUCUUUUCCAAUUUUAGGCAUUCAGAGUCAUUCAUUUUAUCAGUUUUAGGCAUUCAGAGUAGUGUCUUCAUUUUGGCAUUCAGAACCAUUGUCCAGCUUGGCAUUCGAUGCCAUCUUCUUCCUUUAACUUUGGCGUUCAGAGCUAUCGUGCAUACUCAUUCAGGCACCUAGAGUCACCAUCUUUCCUCCUCUUGGCGUUUAGAGUCAUUUUUCCCCAGCCUUAUCAUUCAAGAGAGCCCAUGUCAUACUAGGACAAAUUUGGCGGUCUUUCUUAUUCUUCGACAAAGUUCACUUCGUUUCGUUCGUGUAUACACUCACUUUACUUGUGAACUUUACCGAAGAGGGGCAUAUUUGUAGACCCCAAAAUUUGUUUCAAUUUUAUCUUUACAUUAAUUUUAUCUUUUUCUUUCUUUCUUUCCUUCUCCAUCUUCUUUCUCCCUCCAUCCCCAUUUUUUUCCUCCCAUUUUAUUUUAUUUUAUUUUGCUUCCUAAAAACCCGUCCACCCUCAUUGUCGUCGGUAGGGCCGCCGACGAUCCACUGUCGACCGACAACCCCCUUCCCAUCUCAUCCGUUUCUUUAUCCAAUUUUAGGUUUGGUUGAUUGUGUUUGUAUUUUUGGUUAUUAAUUUGGAUGUUCUGGGUUAAACCAAUAGUAAUUUGGACUCAUUUUAAUUGACGAAAUUUAUGAGACUAAUUUGAAGUUUGAAUUUGGGUUUGAAUAUCCAUUGUGAAUGUUAUACAUUUCUAGAUAUUUACAUCUAUGUUAUUCUUAUUUUUGCAUGGACCCACUCUCCAAUCUUGUUGGCUGAGUACGAAUUGAUGACACGUGGAGCUUGUUGUAAGUUUAUUUGGGUGCAUAUUUUAUUUUCCACUUUUAUUUGGUUUUAUUUUUAUUAGUUUGUGUAAAUAUUCGUUUGUAUGUAAUUAUUGUGUGUGUACAAAAUUAAACAUCGAACAAACUAGAAAUUUUGUUUAAAUGAGAAGAAAAAGUCAGUAAAUGUGUUCUAAUAAAACAACAAUUUUGAAAUAUUAUUUUUAAUAAAAGAAAGUUUUUAUUUAUUUAUAAACAUUCAGAAAAAUGCAUUUAGAAAAAUCCAAAAGAAAUGUUUUUAAUGGAAUUUGAAAAUUUGUUUUUAAAUAAUAUUUGUCCAAAAAUUUCUUUGUUUAACAAAAAUUGUCUAAGUAUUGUUUUGUAAAUAAAGGUGUCCCAAAAAUUAAUUUUUAAUAAAAUUGUCCAAAAAAAUGUUUUUUUAAAUAAAUUCUUUUUACUUAAUUAAAAUUGGAUUAAAAGUCUUUUUUAGAAAUAGAUGAUUUAUUUAUUUAUUUUAUUUUUAUUUUUUUUCCUUUUAAUUAAAAAUUCUUUUGCAAAUGAAGUUAUGUCUUUUUAAAUAAUUUAUAUAAAUCAUUUUUCUUAAAUAAAAUCAAAUUGAAAUAUUUUCGUAAAUAAAAUUGUAAAAAUUCAUUUUUUUUAAACAAGUAAAAAUAAUUUUUGUAUCCAAAUUGAAAUUUUGUAAUAAGUUCUUUUGACACAAUAAGUGUAAAUAACAUUUUUUUUCGAAAAUUAAAUACAAAUGAAAUUGAAUCAAAUCACUUAAAGAAAAUAUCUUGUAAAUAAAUAAAUUGAAAUCACUCUUUCAAAAUCAUUUUUAAUAAAAUCCUUUGAAAUUUCUUGAAAACUAUUUUUUUUGUUUUACUAUUUAUUUAUUUAGUUCAAUAAAUCAUUUUGCAUAAUUCUUUUGUCAUUUAUUUUGUAUAUUCUUAUAAUUAGAUUUCGUCAUUAUUUUUGUGUAUAUUAAUUUUCACCGUGACUUCUACAUUGAUUGUUUUUCUUGAUAUCUAUAAUUAAUUAAUUAAUUGCCACAAUUCCCUUAAUUCAUUUAGUAGAGACCGUACGUAUGCAAGCUUAAAGGGGUGCUACGGCUCAUCACCGUACCUUCCUAAUAAGUAACCUGACUCCCGGACCCAGACUUGGUUUUUCACGGACCCCCCUUAGUGGGUAUGGGUUCCACAAUCAGAAUAACAAUCAUAAGCAUGAUAGGCACCCAUGUUUUAUAAAAACCAAUCAAAUCAAAAUCUUAGUCUCUCUUUAGUAACCAAUUUUGAAAAUAAUUGUUUCUUAUCAAAUAAUAUACUAGAUGUCAUGUCUUUAAGGGUUCUAUUAAAAUAUAUUUAUCUCAAAAAAUACAUUUUUUUUCAAAUUUUUAUUACUAAUUCAUUUAUAAAAUAUGUUUUUAAUAAAAACAUUGUCUGUUUUAAUUAUGUUAUUAAGUAAAUAACUAAAAAAGGAGCUAAGAUUAUUGACACAUAAAUAAAAAUUUAUAUCAUCAAAACUUCAUGAUAAUUUUUUUUUCUUUUAAUUUUGCCAUUAAAAUGAGUGAUUCUAUAAGAUAUGCUAACACAAAAAUGUAAAAAAUAUAUUAUUAUAGCUCAUUGAAUGGUAACUUUAAGAAGCCAUCAAAUAAUUGGACGUAUGAGACUUGAUUCCAGAAGACUAAAAGGACUAUAACAAGCUUAGUAAUAAAGAAUCUGGGUAGGUCAUAUCUCCUUGUCGAUAAAAUUCAAUAUUAUUUUGUACAUUUUCUAUGAAAUAUCUAUAAUUUUGUUAAUAGAUGAGGCAAGAAUGACAGAAAGAAAUGGCACCUAUGAAAGGAUGUCUAAUGAAACGCUUAUUUCAACCAUUUGAAUACAUUGAUCAUUUUACUUGAAAUUUUUGAAUAAGAGUACAAGUGGCAAAUACUUUUUUAUGUCUGCUACACUUCACCACUAUGGUUGACAACUCUCUUUUGAUGCCAAUUAUCCAUUUUUCGUUACUUAGUCACACAUGUUCGAUGACUACUAAUGUUAAUUGAUAGGUAGAACCUUUAUAAUUUUAGGUACAUUUUUAAGAUAACAAAGUGUAUUCUAAAGAAAUUCUGGUAUAUAAUAUUGGAAAAGAGUACAUUGUUCGAGGUUGAUUUUUUUCCACAUAGGAGUUAUGGACCCCGCAUUUUCGGCUCAUGCGUUCCCACUCGAUGAUGAAACUCGCUUUUUAUUUGAAAAAUGAUUUUAUUGAUUAGGAAAAAUGACUUGGAGUCGCCACUUAUUUUUGUUUUAUUUUUAAAGGGUAAACAAAAUAAGAAAGAAAAACCCUAAGUGUGACUCCUUAUUUUGGAAAAGGCGGUCUGUGAAAAACCAGAUCGGGUUCGGGAGUCAGGUUACUUAUCGGGAAGGUAUGGUAAAGACCGUAAUACCCCUCUAAGUCCCUAAAGUCGGGUCUCUACUAAUAAAAUGAAGCAAUGGUGACAAUUAACUAAUUAAUCAUGGAUACCAAAAUUAAUAAUCAAACAAAUGAGCAUGUACAAGUCAUAGUGAAAAGCAAUAUACACAAAUAAUGAUGAAAUCUAAUUACGAAAAUACACAAAAUAAAUAAUAAGAGAAUUAUGCAGAAUGAUUUAUUGAAUUAAAUAAAUAAAAGAUAUUAAAAAAAAAGUUUUAAAGAAAUUUCAAAGGAUUUUAUUAAAAAUGAUUUUGAAUUAAUGAUUUCAAUUUAUUUACUUACAAAAAAAGAAAUAAUUUAUUUUCUCAACUUCAUUUGUAUUCAAUUUUCAAAAAAGUUAUUUACACUUAGUGUCAAAAGAAUUUAUUACAAAAUUUCAAUUUGGGUACAAAAAUUAUUUUUACUUACUUUUACUAUAAAAUAAUGAAUUUUUACAAUUUUAUUUACAAAAGUAUUUAGAUUCAUUUUCAUUUAAAAGAGUGAUUUUUACAAAUUAUUUAAAAUGCAUAACUUUAUUUGCAAAAGAAAUUUUAAUUAAAAAGAAAAACAAAUAUUUAAAUCCUCUAUUUCUUAAAAACACUUUUAAUCCUAUUUUAAUAAAGGAAAAAGAAUUCAUUUGAAAAAAUAUUUUUAGACAAUUUUAUUAAAAAUUAAUUUUUGGGAUAACUUUAUUUACAAAACAAUUUUUGGACAAUUUUUAUUAAAUAAAGAAAUUUUUGGACAAUGUCAUUAAAAACAAUUUUUCUAAUACUAUUAAAAACAAUUUUUUGGAUUUUUCUAAAUGCAUUUUUUUGAAUUUUUAUAAAUAAUAAAAAAAACUUUCUUUUAUUAAAAUAAUAUUUUAAAAUUAUUGUUUCAUCAAAACACAUUUACUAAAUUCUUCCUCUCAUUUAAAUAAUUCUAGUUUGUUCGAUGUUCAAUUCUAUACACACAAAUAAAUAUACAUAGAUAAAUAUUUACAGAAAUCAAUAAAAAUAAAACUAAAUAUAAAUGAGAAAUCAAAUAUGUACCACAGUAGGCUUACAACAAGUUCAAUGCUCCAUUUACAACUUUUCGAGUCUCACUUUGUUCCAUGAAAUUUCGUGCUCCACGUGUCAUAAAUUUAUGCUAAACCAAUAGGUUUAUAGAACGAGCCCAUGUAAAAACAAAAAAUAGUAUAAGGGGAUAACCAAGUUUUAUAUUAAUUUAACAAUUCAAAUACCACAAACAACAAUUAUUAUUAUAAUCAAAUUGAGUAAAAUGAAUAAUAAUAAUAAUAAUGAUAAUAAUAGUAAUAUAAUAAUAAUAAUAAUAAUAAUAAUAAUGGGAAACGGAUGAGAUGGAAGGAGGUCGCCAACCGGCGGUGGCUCGCCGGUGGCGACUGGUCGGUGUCCCGGCGGCGGUGAGGGGUGAGUUUUUGAAAAUAAUAAUAAUAAUAAUAAAGAAAAUAAGGAAAAAAAAUGGAGAAUGAAAGGAAAAAGAUAGGAAGGAAAUGAAGGGGUGUUCGGCCGGUGAGGUGUAGUGGAGGAAGGGCUGUUAAGAGAAAGAAAAAUGGAGGGGAAGGAAGGGAAAAACCAGAGGAGAAAAUGGAGGGGGGGUCGGCAGCUGUUGGGGAAUAAAUGGGAAAAGAUGAGAGAAAAUAAAGGGGAGUUGGGGAGCUCCGCCCGUUAGUGGAGUGUGGAGCAAAAAAACCAAAGAAGAAACAAUCCGGCCAUAAAUGGGGGAGCCGGCCAUCAAUUGGUCUCUUGGGAGUAGCAGAAAAAGAGCCAAGGAAGAGGGGAAUGGGGCCCGGCCAUUUUUGCCUUGGGAAUGGGGAGAUGUUAAAAAAAAAUUCAAAAAGAAAGAGCCCAUGAAUGGGGGGCCGGUCAAAAAGAAAAGGAAAGAGGAAAAAAAAUAAUAAAAAAAUGAAAUAGAGGGAAUAGGGGUAUGGCUUGGACGUGGGUGAUGGGGGUAGGUAAGGGUAGGUAGGGGAGUGAGAGGAGAGAGGAGAGAGAAAUGAAGGAAAUAAAAGAAAAAAUAAAAAAUAAAAAUAAAAUAAUAAUAAAAUAAUAAUAAUAGUAAUAAUAAAUAAUAUAAAGGAAAAAGUAAAAUAUAAUAAUAAUAAUAAAAAAAUAAAAUAAUAUAUAAAAUAAUAAAAAUUAAAAAAUAAAUGAUGAAUGGGUCAAAAAAACACAUAUAAUCGAGAUUUAAAAUCUAUGAAAAAAAUUAAACUCAAAAUCAAUGUAAAAUAAAAAUAAGACAAAUUUUAGAGUAUAGAGUGCAUAUGCAUAUUUUGAAAUUGUUAUAGAUUUAGAAUUAUUUUGAAAAAUAUUGUAUUUUAGAAAUAACCUCUUAAAAUAUGUAUAUUUUUAUAAAAAAAAUAUGGCCAUCCAUGCCUAUUAGCCAUUAAUUAUUUAUUCAAUAAUAUAAUCAAAAGUGCAAAAUGUUUUAUUAUAUACAAUAAUUUAGUAAUAAAAUUUGUAAAAAAAAAUGUAUUUUUUGAUAGAAGUACAUGUUGAGAUAGAACACAUCUAGUAUAGUUUUUUUUUUUUUAUAUCUAAUAAUAAUUUUUUUUUUGUUUUGUACAAGGUUACUUUAAAAAAUAAUUAAUAAAGCAUGGGUGCCUCUAUAUCAUGCUUGCACUUAUUAUUAUGACUGGAACUCAUACCCACUGAAAGUGGGCUCCUUUAUUAUUGAGAAAAAGCAAUUGUACCAUUGAAAAUAACAAAAGAGGACUAUUUAUAAUUUAAUUUUUUAAUCUAAUAAUAAAAAAAUAAAAAUUAAAGGUUGUGCUUCCAUCCUACUUUCCCCACUUUAUCUUCUUUCUAACUAACUUUAGACAUUCAAAUAUUACCUAAAGAGAACUAUAAAAAAAAUAAAUGAAUAAAAGAGCCAUCACAUCAUGAAUGACACAAACAGCGACCUCAAAUACAAAGCCUUUGUUCCUAUCUUUUCCUCCUCACCCUAUUGUUAGUUGUUACUAGUUAUCAUCAUAAAUAGUAAUACUAUCUGUAACAUGAAUUUAGGGAUAUUGUGUAUUUUGAAAAUUUUAAAAUAAAUACAUUGAAUUUAGAGAUAUUUAUGUAUUUUAAAAAUUUUAAAAAGAAAGAAAAUAAGUAAGAUAUUUUUAGUCCCUUUAACCACCAAUUAUAUUUAUCUUCUUGUGGUUUCACCGUAUCAUAAACAAUUGAAAAGACAAAAUAAAAAGGAAAAAGGAAAAAAAGAAAAAAUAAGGUCUUUAUAGAGCUUUGUUUCGAAAGGUAAGAAAGAAGAGAGUUUUAGUACUUGUUUGGUUUUACAAUUUAAAGGUGUACAUUACUUGUUUCAAGAAUUUGAGUAACUUCUACGAUGUAAAGGUUAAUAAUGUAGGAAGUUUUUAUACCUCUUUAUUUAUUUUCAUUUGAUAUUUAAAUUCCUUUAUUUAUUAAAAUAUCAAAAUGUUUAAAUUCCGUAAAAAGGAUCAAGUAAUAUUUUUCUAAAAUAUGUUUUGAUUUGUUCAUUUGUUUAUAAAAUAAAUUAGAAAUACUAUAUAACUUAUUUGAUUGUUAUGCAAGUGAAUUUUACAUUUUCAAUUAAUUAAAGUGAUUUUGGAAAUUUAGGUUAUUAGUAGGUCUGAUCAAUAGACAUAAGUUGUUGACCUUCAUUAUUUUUGGUGGAGUAGUGAUAUAAUGUAAUCUAUCUAGUAAAGAUGUUAUUAGCCUUUGGUAUACCAUUAUGUUCCAUCCUCCAUAUGAAUAAUUUGAGACUAACCACUUAAUGCAAGUUCCAUUAUUUAAGCAUAGUGUUAUUAUGAGUGACUUAAAGUAAAAUGUUUGUUUGUGAAAUUCUUUUAUAUAUGAAUUGAUUACAGUAAGUAUAUUACGUUGUUUUAUCUUUAAAAUUGAAAGUGUUGAAUUUUUGGAAGAAAUUGAAUUUAGUUAUCGAAUUAAAUGAGUUUACCUGUUAAUUAAUUUCCAUAAAAAAAAAAAAUUAUAUCUCCUAAGAUUUAAUUUUGUACCAUGCUCAAUCCUUUUUAUUGAAUCAUUUUUCCUUAUUAAGUUGUGGAACUCACUCUUCUCUAUUAUUCCCCUUUUCAGGUACAAGUGAAUGUGUGAUGAGAGAUCAAGAUAGGAAGUCUGCUUUUAUUAAAAACUGUUUUAAAUUUGAUUAUUUACUUAAGACUAAAUUUCAGUUAUGAUUUGUAGAAUAUGCAUCGAAAGCGUUUGAGAUUUUUUUUUUAGUUUUGGAUUUGUUACUCAAAGGUCAUUUGUAUGUUGGACUUUUUGGAUUUGAAAUGUGAAAUGAAGGACAUACCCCUGGCCUUUAAGGUUCGGGGUGUCACAAAUACUACCUUAAAUAUAGGAAAUGGUGGAAGCGAAUGAAGAGGAAGGGAUUGACUCUUGAGGAUUUGGAGUUUCUGGCCACCGGUGGUGGGGGUACUGAGCCCAAGUGCAGAUAAACGACGGGGGCUGCUUUGGCGUUGUAGGUGAGUGUUGUUAUUCAAUUAUGUCUUCCUGUUGACUUGUAACUUCAAUUUGUCAUGAGUUGGAAUAUAUUGGAGCUAGUUUCUGAUCAAAUAUAGAGCUAGUUUCUGAUCAAAUAUAGAGCGUUGCAUCCUAUACUUCUAAUGGAGGGGACAAUGGCUUCUACAAGUGAUGCGGAUGCAUCUGAUCUGGAGAGCAUUAAGAGAAAGUUGAUCAAGAGCCUGGCCAGCAGUUGGGAAGAAGUUGUGCAGAUAUACGAGCAAGAUCCAAAAGCUCACAAGAUUAAGAUCGGCCCAUCAGAGAACACAGCAUUGCAUAUAGCAGUUUCAAGUGGGCGAGAAGACAUAGUAGAACGACUAGUGAAGUCGAUUGAGAAGAAUGGUAACCCCGUGGAUGUUCUAUCUAUAAGGAAUAGAGAUGGGAACAAUCCUCUUCAUUUGGGGGCCUCACUGGGAAGCAUUUCCAUGUGCAGAUGCAUCACUGAUGAGUGUAAAGAACUGUUGGGUCGCCGCAACGGAGAGAGUGAUACGCCCCUUUUAAGGGCAGCUCGCUAUGGCCCAAAAGAUGUUUUCCUCUGGUUGUAUGAUAUGUGUGAAGGCAACGCACCCCAUGACUACUGCCAGAACCGAGAUCGUAAUAACGUUCUCCAUCUUGCCAUUGACGGAGGAUACAUGGGUAAGCAAUAUUAGAGUGCUGUUCUUCAGUUUACAUGUUCUUUUGCUUAAUUGUAAUAUAAAUCUAUUAGGUGCGUACGCCUCUUUGGUUGGGUGCCUCCAAUGAAGACAAUAAAUUUGGUUAAUUCAUGGUUGUGGUGGACAGAUUUGGCGUUUCAAAUUAUUUGUAAGCAGGAAGAUCUAAUGGAUGCUGUUAACAGUGAUGGAUUCUCCCCUCUGCAUGUCCUUGCUGAGAAGCCUACUGCAUUCAGAAGCGGAAUUCAUCUCGGCUGGUUCAACAAAAUCAUUUAUCACUGUAAGAUUCUCCAAACCAAACCAAAAUAUUUGCAAGUAUCAAACAGAGAUUGAUGCAUGGGGCUGAAUUGAAUCUAGGGCAUGCAUCAUUUGUUAUCUUGUAUCUUAGAUCUCCAUCAAGGCCAUAAAUUUCUGACAGUUCCCCUUGUUAAUCAAAUUGGAAGGUAUUUCUGUUGAAGAGCUCAUCCCUGCAGGGACUUCCAAAGCAAAGAAGAGCUUCUUUCAAGAGCUACGGAAGCUGAUUAAAUUACCAGGUGGGAGCAGGGAUCGGUAGCUUAAUCAUUUGGAAGAAAACAUUCUUGUAGCCACUGACCGCUUUCUUGAUGUUGCAACCAUAAUUUAUUGUUAUGGUAGUUAAUCAGUAUGAGACAGUAACAAAUUAAUAUGGUUCACUUGCAAAAGGAAUAGAAGCAUUUCAGCAUAGGAGAUCUCAAUCCCUCUUUUAAUAUAUUCUUGCUCAUGUGUGCUGUGACCAAGCUUAUACCUCAAGUAACUAGUGGAAAAAAAAUGCAGGAAAAUCUAAAAAGCACUUGGAUCCAGAGAAUCCUGAAGAAGGGCAAGGAAUUGAACAUCAUGGUGAGUGUGGGAUCUACUUGAUUUAAGCUAAAGCACUCUUAAAAGCAACUUCAAGUAAACAGUACUGAUUUCUUUACCUUUGUAUAGGUCAUAAUUCAACGAAAAUUGGAGCUCAAGAACACAAACCAUUCCACUCAAAAUAUGGCAGAUGCCUGAGGUUCAUCAAGCUUUUUGUAUCCCAAGUACUGCUGGUUAUCAUCUCAGUGAUGCCAGGUAUAACACCAUAUUAAUCACCAUCCCAAGUUUCUCUAGUAUUAAUUUCCAAAACAAUAGAGGUUCAAUGUACGUUCUUGUUUCAUUGUGGAUACAUGUUUAGGUUCAAGCCAGAUAAGGAAGCUAAAAGAGAAAAAAGAGAUGCACAUGUGGUCUCUUCAGAUCCUGAACAAACUACUUGAACGUGGUGCAAGGUGUACAUAUGAAAUGAAUCCCAAAUAUGAGGAGGAAUUUUUAUUGCUUGACUACGAAAGAGGUGACCUCUAUGUCAACCCUGUUUUCAUUACAAAUAAACUUCUUGGUGUAUAUAUAUAUAUAUAGAAAGAUGUGGAGACAAGGUAACCAACCACUUUCUCCAAUAUCUUUAACUGAUAUUAAGGAGAGGCAGAUCUGGUGCAGAGCAAUCACAACUCAAAUUCUUGAAAUUUUAACCACUGUUAUUAGAUGAUUGGUCCAUUGGGCUUUCUCUUGUAGUUGAAGAAUGAGUUUUCUUAUCUUUGUAGAUCGGGGGAUGACACCAAUACUACUUGCAUCAAGGAAUGGUAUCGUGGAAAUGGUAGAGAAAAUCCUGCAACUGUUUCCUAUGGCCAUUCAUGACACCAACAGCUUUAAUCAGAACAUAGUGCUGAUGGCAGUAGAGAAUAGGCAAUCACAUAUAUAUGACUUCUUACUCAACAGUAGUCAUCUUAUUGAUAAAGAAGGUGCAUUUCACGCUGUUGAUUGUGAGGGGAACAAUGCAUUGCAUCUAGCUGGAAAGCUUGCAGGUGACCGCUACCUCCAGCGUAUCCCCACCAGCAUGUUGCAAAUGCAGUGGGAAGUCAAGUGGUACCAGGUAUGCAAAACUCAAGCUAAGAUUUAAAUUAGCUUAUGAGAAAUGACUCAAACCGAUGAAUAAUAACUUAAAAAGUAUGCACUUGGUUCAAUGCAGUAUGUGCAGAAUUCCUUGCCACCACAUUUUGUUGUUCAAAAAAAUAGGGACAGACGUACCCCAGAUGAGAUCUUCCAAAUAGAACAUCAAAGACUUGAAGACGAAAGCAAACAAUGGCUAAAUAGCACCUCCAAUUCCUGCUCUUUCAUUGCAGCACUUAUCGCAACUGUUGCCUUUGCCUCAUCAGCCUCUGUACCUGGAGGGGUAAAGCAAGACACUGGGGAACCAGUUUUUGAAAACCAUCUGGCUUUCAGUAUUUUUGCAAUGGCAUCGCUAGUUGCUCUUUGCUGUUCAGUGAUCUCCUUGCUAAUAUUCCUCGCCAUUUUCAUCUCCAAGGACCAAGACAAAGAUUUUACUACGAACUUGCCAAGGAAUUUUUUAUUUGGUUUAACAUCUCUCUUUAUAUCCAUGGCAGCCAUGUUGACCUGUUUCUGCUCGGGAAACUUCUUGAUGCUUAAGGGUCAACUAAAAUAUGCUGCAAUUCUGGUAUAUGCACUCACCGGCCUGCUAAUGGCGUACUUUGUUCUGAAGCACUUUCCAUUAUUUAUUGAUCUUCUGAAGGCUACAUUUCGUAAGGUGCCUGAGCGUAUAUACAAGGAGUAUCUGUAGAUUGCUUUGGUCUGGGCUCAAGGAGAACCUUAUGCCAUGGUGAUGAUAGCCAGAUCUGAUGAUGAUAUAAUUUUUCAGUUGUUGUGUCUUUCAAAUAUAUAUAUAUAUAUAUAUAUAUAUAUAUAUAUAUAUAUAUAUAUAUGACUGUAAUCUUCCUCCUGGAGUACAGAUUCUUAUCAAAUUGAUUGAUAACACAAACAAUGGUGACCUCAUUAUGCCUCCCAUUCGCCCCUGCAUUCCCCUAAACUCCUCCAAAGCUCUAUUCAUCUCUCCAUGUCUCAUAUACCCAUCAAUUAUUGCUGUCCAAAAAUACAUAUCUGACCCGACUAAAAACAGCACCAGCUUCCUCAACCAGUCCCUGAUCACUAUAAGAGCAGAUCAUCACGGUGAACGAGAUAACGUCUUCAGGCAUUUCAUCAAACAUCCGACGUGCAUCCCCUGAUUCCCCUCAUUUUCCGUGUAACUCCAUCAUCCUCAACUUCACAAAACGUUUGAGCUGGAGCCCAGCUUCAUAGCCCUUCUGUGGAUCUCUUUCCCCUCCCUUAAAGCCGAUUGGGAUCCAUGUGCUUUCAAAAUGGAGGCCAUUAAGUAAUUAUCAGGCAGAAUUGACUCAUGGAGCAUUCUGGAAUACAGCCGAAUGCCACAAAGAUGGCUUCCUGAUGAAGCAAAGCCAUCAAUGACAGAAGUAUAUGGAUAGACAGUUGGGUUGUGACUGUACUGAAAAAUCAAAAUCCUAGAGGCCCAGAAUCCAGUGGAUGGCGUGGCAUUUGGAUCUGGUAGAGAAAAUAUCAAAUUAAUAUUAUUAAAGUUCUAAAUUUUCAGACAAUAAUAAUAAAUAAAGGUUAUAUUAAAGAGAAAAAAAUAAGGAUUAAAAAAAGCUUGACCGAGUCACAAGAAACUACUUAAUUUAUUUAAUACAUAAUAAUAGAAGAAAAGUGGAGAACAUGAUUCUUUCAUACUAAAAUAAAUAAUAAAUAAUAAAAAAUAAAAAAUGAGAUGAAACCAUAUAUAAUUAAAAUAACAUAUGACAAUUAUAAAUAUUAAUUUAAAUAUAAUUGUAAUAAGAGAAUCAGCCAAAAGACUAUGAAGGGGUCUUGAGAAUGACCAUUUAGGAGGAGUUGAGUACGGAUUAGGAGGACUUGGUUGAUGUGUUUGGAUUUGUGCAAUAGAGAGAUUAUUUGUUUUGGAUGUACUAAGAUGAAUGUGCCAAAUAUCAAUAAGCCCAUAUAUCAUACUUUGAAGUAUUUAUUUAUAUUAUAAAACAAUGCAUUUAUUUAUUUUUUAGGUUAUUACUAUUUUAUAAAUGCAAACUAUACAAAUAAAGAGGGGUUCGUUGCUCCAUUUAUAGGAUAUCAUUUAAAUAAAUAGAAACCCAAAUUAAUGCUAAAAUAUUACAUUGAUGAAGAGUGGAAGUGGCUCAAAGUAUACUUUUGUUUUAUUUUAUUUAUUUAUUUAGGUUUUAAUUUGUAUAUAAUAAAAUGACAAUUAUUCACUUUGUUAUAACAUUGUUUAGGAGCAUUAGAUGAGACAUUCAUUAUGAAGAAUGUACUAGAUACUAAACGCAUAUAUAUUGUAUUAUGAAAUAUUUAUUUGUAUUAUAAAAUAAUACAAUUAAAUUUCUUUGUUUUAGGUUAUUACUACCUUGUAGAUAUGGACUAUGCAAAUAAUGAGAAAUUCCUUACUCCAUUUAUAGGAUAUCAUUUAAAUAAAUAGAGGGGCAAAAUGAUAGAAGUGUAUAUUUCAUUCCAUUUCCUCUAUGAUUAGGAAACACUUGAAAGGUAACUGACUUCAUUUUGAUUUUUUUUCCUAGAUAUUAUAAGUAAACACUUCAAUAGAAUUCAUGAUUUUGAUUAUCUUCUCUUUUCUUUCCUUAUCUAGUUCUCUUUCCUAUGAUUUUAUUUAUAUAGAACUAGUAAACACACUCUAAGGAUCAAAUUAGAACGAAGAUUAGAGAUAGUUAUGAUACUUUUUUUUUCUUUAAACAUCAAAUGGGAACAAAGGACGUCAAAGUUUUGGAGCACAUACAAUCAAUUUUACAUCAAUAAUAAUCACUAAUGUUUUUAUCUAAUUUUGAAUGUCAUAAUACAAAGUAACCUUCAUUUCUAUCAACUUGGUGAAAAAAAAAACGUUAGAAUGCAAUGAAAAAUAAAAGAACUAAUAAUAAUAUUAACUAAUAAAACAGGUGAAAAAGAAACACCAUUAUUCAGAUUUGAAGUCAUUAUCCAGUGGUCAUAAAGAUAGAACUUUGUACCAUUGAAGGAUUUAGUCUCACACUUGAAAGAUAGCCCAAAAAGUCGAGGGAAUGCUUGGAUAAGUAGUUUAUAUGGAUCCUUAUUGGUUGAGACCACACGUAAAAAUGACAUUGCCAGAAAUUGACAAGGUAAUAUUUCCAUUUAUUCAUUAGAAGAGGCGCCCCUUUUGAAGCUAGAAUGGAUUUUCCUUGAUACCUAACAUAUGCAUGAAAGGAUUCUUGAACAACUAUAAGAUUGUCUGAAAAUCAUUAGCAAAGACUUCAACAAAAUGCUCUAUUUUUCCAUAGAAAAAUAUUGGCCCAAGAAAGGCUCCAUAAGAUGUUGAUCGUAAAUGAUAAGAUUGAUUGCAGAUAAAAAUGAAGAUAGAGUCGUAUUCACAUACAUGAAAAUUAUAUAGGAAAUAUCAAGAUUCUGAUGGUAAUAAACUUUUUGGAAGAACAAGCCUGGCAACUAAGGUCCCAUGUAUGUCAUCUGCAUUACAACUUCCCAAUAAGGCAGUUUUAUGGCAUUUCAGGUUAGGUCAUCUUACACAUAAAAUAGUUAAUAAAGUUUUGAGUGCUUGUAGCUUGCCCCCAAUACAUUGGACAAGUGUUUGUGAACCUUGUCAAAUGGCAAAAAGUCAUUGCUUACCUUUUAUUUUGUCUAAAUCCAGAGUCUCUCAGCCUUUUGCUCUUGUACAUUCUAAUCUAUGGGGUCUUGCCCCUAUUGUUGGUGCUAAUGGUGCAAGAUACUUUGUACCCUUUAUGGACGACCAUACAAGAUUUUCUUGGUUGUAUCUACUAGCUUCUAAAGAUCAAGCUAUCUCUAUUUUUUUUUUUGCAAUUUAAAGUGAUGAUUGAGACUCAAUUUGAUACUAAAGUUAGAGGGCUUCAAACUGAUUGGGGAGGGGAGUUUCAAGCCUUUACUAAUACUUUAUGUAAAUUUGUGAUUCUACAUAAAGUAUCUUGUUUGUCUACUUCUCAACAAAAUGGUCGUGUGGAGAGAAAACGUAGACAUGUGGUUGAAAUAGGUCUUUCAUUGCUUGCUCAUGCUUCUAUUCCACUUAAAUAUUGGUAUUUUGCCUUACAAUCUGCCUUAUAUUUGAUUAAUAGGCUUCCUUCCUCUAUGCUAAACUUUUCUUCUCCAUAUAAAACUCUUUACCAUUGUCUACCAAAUUAUUAUUUUCUUCAUGUCUAUGGUUGCACUCGUUAUCCUUUUCCACAUCCUUUUAAUAGUCAUAAAUUUGCAUAUCGAUCCGUUAAAUGCACCUUUAUUGGCUAUAGUUCUAAGCAUAAAGGAUAUCUCAGAUUAAACAUGUCCACUGGUAAAAUACAUAUAUCAUGACAUGUUAUUUUUGAUGAAUUAGAUUUCCCAUUUGCUAAGCCUUCUACAAUUCAGCCUCCUUGUUUUGUUUCCCCCUCUCAUUGUGCCAUUCCCUUAGCAGUACCAUCCUUUUCAAUAUCUUCCCUCUUGCCUCCCCCAUCUAGUCCUCCUUCAGAGUUGGUUCUAGUCUUUGAUGCUAGUGUGUCAAUUUCCUCUUCUGAGGUUGCACUUAUUCCAACAGCUCAACCUCCUUUCUCUCACGUUCCUACUCCUUGUCAUUUUAUGACAACGCGUGCCAAAAAUGGCAUUUUCAAACCUAAGAUAUUUCUAUCCCCUACUGAGACUAUUUUUCCUCCACCUUGUGAACCGAAUUCCUUCAAGGAAGUUGCUAAAGUUCCUAAAUGGCAGCAAGCUAUGCAUCUUGAAUUUGAAGCUCUUAUAAAGAAUAAAACAUGGGUCUUGGUUCCUCCUUUAUCUAAUUAGAAUAUCAUUGGAUGUCGUUGGGUUUAUAAAUUGAAGUUUAAACCUGGUAGAACUAUUGAACGUUACAAAGCACAUUUGGUGGCGAAAGGAUUUCAUCAAACUCCCGAUUUUGAUUACUUUGAAACCUUCAGUUCCGUGGUUAAACCUACUAUUAUUCAUGUAGUUUUCUCGCAUUAAGUAAAAACUAGUCUAUCAGACAACUUGAUGUUCUUAAUGCCUUUCUUAAUGGUGAUUUAUCUUAGCAAGGUUUUAUGACACAACCCCCAGGUUUUGUGGAUCCUUCUAAGCCCAACUUUGUUUGUAAACUUACCAAGGCAUUGUAUGGUUUGAAGCAAGCUCCACGGGCUUGGUUCACCAAACUUAAUUCCGUCUUAGUUAAAUGGGGGUUUUUCCAUUUCUCAAGUAGAUAUGUCAAUGUUUGUUUACUGUAACAAUUCUGCCAUGCUUGUUGUCUUGGUUUAUGUCGAUGAUAUUAUUGUCACUAGAUCAAAUUCCUUGCUCAUUGAACAACUUAUAUCCUCCUUAAAAUCUUGCUUUGCUCUCAAGGAUCUUGGUGCUCUUAACUUCUUUCUUGGAAUAGAGGUAUUCAAUUCUAGAUCUUCUUUGCAUUUAAGUCAAGCUAGAUAUAUUUGUGAUCUCCUUCAGCAUGCUAGUUUGUCUAAAUCAAAGUCCAAGACUUUCCCAAUGGUUGUUAGUCCCUGUUCUCUCCAUAGCUGAUGGUACUAGAUUAGAAGAUCCCACCUUGUAUCAGAGUCUUGUGGGUGCUCUUUAGUAUUGCACAAUUACUAGACCAGACAUUGCUUAUACUGUUAAUAAGCUUUGCCAAUUUAUGCAUGCUCCAACCUCUACUCAUCUUCAAGUUGUAAAGCGUGUUCUUCGUUAUCUCAAAGGUUCAUUGUUUUAUGGGCUUUCUUUCCAACUAUCUUUCUCCCUCGAUCUCAUUGCCUAUACAGAUGUUGAUUGGGCAUCUUGCCCUAAUGAUAGAUGUAGCACCAGUGGCUACUGUAUAUAUUUUGGUGGCAAUCUGGUCUCUUGGUCAACUUCUAAACAAAAGGUGGUUUCUCGCUCUAGUACCGAAUCCGAGUAUAAGGGCUUGGCCAACGCAGCAGCUAAACUCACUUGGAUCCAAUCCCUACUUAAAGAACUCUUUGUUUCCCUGUUUCAACCCCCUGUUCUUUACUAUGAUAAUCUCAACACUACUUAUUUGGUUGAAAUCCUGUCCUUCAUUCUCAAGCUAAACAUGUGGAAACUGAUUAUCAUUUUGUUCGUGUACGAGUCUUGUAGGAAACUCUUGAUGUUCCAUCUGAAGACCAAGUUGCUAAUAUCUUGACCAAAGCUCUCUCCACUCAACGUUUCCUCCAUCUUCGGAGCAAGCUCACAGUUAUUUCUCUCCCUAUGUGCUUGAGGGGGGAUGUCAAGUAGAGUUGUUUAAGUAGUUAACAGGUUGUUUGUUGUUUGUAACUAAUUAGAAAGUUGUUAGUCAUUUGUAACUAAUCUCUGAAUUUUUGUAUAUAAGAGACAAAGCACUUAUAAGUGGUGCAAUUUGUUGCUUAAUUUUAGUUUUCAUCUCUCUUGUUUUCUCUCAAACAGGUGCUCUGCAUAUCUUCUUUUCAUAUCUUAGAGCUCUUUCUCCAUCUUCAGCAACUCAACCUUGCUCUUCAAAUCUGAUAAUCUGAUCACAUCUUCAAUCCCUCGUUAAUUUCUUCAUUCAACUCCUCUACCUUCGAUUGGAAGCCUGGGACGGGAGUCUCCUGAAGGAGGUCCAUUUUGCUUUUGAUUCCACACUUGAACAUCCAAACCCAUGGACUUGAGAACCUGAGCCAUUUCAAACUCAAUCUCCUUUUUCACUUUUACAGUUUUCUCCUUCAGCGCAUCGUCCAAAUUCCCAAUGGUAGGCAUCUCAGAGUUAUUAAUUUCAACUUUUAAUGCCUCAAUCUUUUCCUUUAUAUCAGCACGAUCCUUAAACUCUUUGAAUCUCUUGUUGAUUUCUUGUUUCGAAGUGGUUGCCUUGUUUCUUUCUAUCUCGGAAGUCCUAAGAUCCAUGAGAUUCUUCUUAUCAUCCUUUGUCCACUCAACAGCCUUAUACCCAUAUCCAUGUCCUUCUUCAUCUUCAUCUUCAUCUUCAUCUUCUGCUUCUCCUACACUUUCAGUUUCCAACUCACUACCACCACCAUCUUUAAGCUUGUGACAACGAUCAUCAAAAUCCAUCAUCCAAUUCAGAAAAAUGCCGCUCAUCAAGCCUCUAGACUUCUUCUGCAUCAUGCCCACUGACAGAGAAGUUGUCUUCUCCAUCCGGACUACAACAGUUUUCUUCUCGACACUCUUGAUGUCACUAACAGCAAUAAUUUAAUGCAUGUUCUGAAUGACAAAACACCCAAAUGGAGGAUAUUUGGAGAAAGUCUCCACUACCGUGGGUUUGAUGAGUGUUAAAGUAUAUUAUGUUAUGGGCUCUAGGCCCAGUUAGGUUACUUGUAUAGUACUUGUACUGCACACUUGUACCGCACAGUACUUGUACCGCACACUUGUACCGCACCUUUGUACUGCACCCUUGUACUGCACACAUAUGCCUCCUAUAUAAAGGCACUGAUGUAUACUCUUUAAAUCACAGAAUAGAAUACAAUUAUUCUAUAUUUCUAACAUGGUAUCAGAGCCAUUGCUCUGACCUUUUUCUUAGCAGUCUUGUCUUCAUUAGCGUGACUUCCUUCUUUCACUAAACGCUUCCGCCAUCACAACUGCUGCUGUAGCCUCUUUCCGUUGAACCUCCGACAUCAUCCAGUCGUCGUCCUUGGGUUUCGGACCUGCAGCCGCCGUCGUUAAGAAGUUCCACACUGCACAGACCAUUGCCCUUUGCAUCACCGCUGCGAAUAUUGCUCCGAUUUCAUUUUUGAAGGUACCACUGAGAUCGUCCAGCGCCGAUCUACACAUUCGUGGAUAUCUCGCCACCAUCGGAGACCGCACACACCUCCACGCGCCUCCAUGCACUGCCAUGUCAGCCCUAGCUGCGUCAGCAUCCACUGAUCUGCUGACGUCAUCUUCAGUCGUUGACCGUUGACCAGUCGUUGACCUUUGACCAGCCGUUGACCGUUGACUUUGACCGUUGACCAUUGACUUUGACCGUUGACUUCCCAUUUAACUUUUUCCCGACCAGGUUCUCCUUACCCAGUUUUUCGUGUAGAUUUCAUUUCUGCAGUCGGUUUUUGCAUAUUGUGUCCCUAAAUGGAUAAGAAGGAUGUUUUUCUUCCUCGUCCCAUCCAUACUGUAUUGGAGGGGACUAAAAAUUACUUAUCCUGGUCUCAAGCUAUGCGCAGUUUUCUUAAGAGCCGCAUGCUCUGACAUUAUUGUACUGGUGCAAUGACUAUUCUUGUCAAGGGAGCAAGUGAAGAAGAUGCUGCCUUUCUUAGUCGCAUGAUUGAAUGGGAUAGUCAUAACCACAUGAUCCUCACAUGGAUUCGGAACACUUCCAUUCCCUCUAUUUCCAAUCUAUUGGGCAGCUUUGACGAUGCAAAAUCUGCAUGGGAUAUGUUGACCAAAAGGUACUCCACUACUCAUGGAUCCAUGAAAUAUCAGUUAGUGGUUGAAUUGCAUCAACUCAGGCAAGAACCGGGGCAAUCCAUCAAUGACUAUUAUGAACAGCUUCGCUUCAUUUGGGACCAAAUUGACCUUUCUGAUCCAACUUGGGCAUGCUCAAAAGAUGCUCAGCAAUAUGCUUCCAUCAGAGAUGAAUUUCGCCUCUAUGAAUUCUUGAUGUCACUUCACAAGGACUUUGAGCCCAUUUGUGGUCAGCUGCUAAAUCGCAGUCUUGCUCCCUCUCUUGAUAUUGCUGUGAAUGAGUUGGUUAGAGAAGAAGCUCGUCUUGCAACCCUUCAAGCCCAGAAUAAGCUCAAUAUUUUGGCUAUUACUCCAUCUACUCCACUCAUAGAGCAACCUCAGCAAUUAGGUGAUUUUUCUGGCUCUAGCAAUCGUCGCAAGCAAACCAACAAGAAGUUCUGCAACUAUUGCAAGCGUCCUGGCCACACCAUUGAGACUUGUUACCGUCGUAACAAAUCUACUGUUGCUGUUGCUAAUACUGAACCUACUCCGCCAACGGUUUCCACGUCCCAGUCUUCUGGAUCUACUAUCAACCUCUCCUCCACUGAACUACAGGAGAUCAUAGCUCAGGUUGUUCGUAUGGCUGGUAAUGCAUCUCUUUCCACUGCCUUAUCUGUUCUACCUGGUAAGUCUCAAACUUGGCUCUUUGAUUCUGUCUGCUGCAAUCACAUGACACCUCACUCAUCCAUGUUCUCCAAACUUGACCCUGCACCACAUCCUCUAAAUAUUCAUAUAGCCGAUGGUUCCACCAUGCAUGGAAAUAGUCUAGGUUUUGUUUCAACCUCUACUCUUUCUGUUCCUGGAGUCUUCCACGUACCUGCCCUAUCCUAUAAUUUGUGCUAUGUGGGACAAUUAGCUGAACUAGGUUAUCGCCUUAUUUUUUACUAUUCUGGGUGUAUUGUGCAGGAUCCGAGGAUGGGGCAGGAGCUUGGGACCGGUCCUAGAGUUGGGCGUAUGUUUCCUGUGAACAAUCUUCAUCUUCCACCUGUUGCUCCUGUUUUUGUUGUUGCUGCAACAGCUGCAGUUUCUUCCUUACCUUCUCUUGCACUUUGGCAUUCUCGUCUUGGUUAUGCACCAUCUUCUCGGGUACAACAGUUAGUGUCUAGAGGUCUGUUGGGUUCUGUGUCUAAAGACAAUUUUGAUUGCACUUCAUGUCAGUUAGGAAAACAGCCAGCUUUGCCUUUUAAUAACAGUGAAUCCAUUUCUAAAAGUAUUUUUGAGUUAAUUCAUUCUGAUGUUUGGGGACCUUCUCCUGUUGCUAGUAUUGGUGGAUCUCGAUAUUUUGUUGUUUUUAUUGAUGAUUAUUCUCGUUAUAGUUGGAUUUUUCCUAUGAAAUCUCGUUCCGAAAUUUUAUCAAUAUAUAGCAACUUUGCAAAAAUGGUUGACACUCAAUUCUCCAAACGUAUCAAAACCUUUCGAUCUGAUAAUGCUCUUGAAUACACUCAACAUGCAUUNNNNNNNNNNNNNNNNNNNNNNNNNNNNNNNNNNNNNNNNNNNNNNNNNNNNNNNNNNNNNNNNNNNNNNNNNNNNNNNNNNNNNNNNNNNNNNNNNNNNNNNNNNNNNNNNNNNNNNNNNNNNNNNNNNNNNNNNNNNNNNNNNNNNNNNNNNNNNNNNNNNNNNNNNNNNNNNNNNNNNNNNNNNNNNNNNNNNNNNNNNNNNNNNNNNNNNNNNNNNNNNNNNNNNNNNNNNNNNNNNNNNNNNNNNNNNNNNNNNNNNNNNNNNNNNNNNNNNNNNNNNNNNNNNNNNNNNNNNNNNNNNNNNNNNNNNNNNNNNNNNNNNNNNNNNNNNNNNNNNNNNNNNNNNNNNNNNNNNNNNNNNNNNNNNNNNNNNNNNNNNNNNNNNNNNNNNNNNNNNNNNNNNNNNNNNNNNNNNNNNNNNNNNNNNNNNNNNNNNNNNNNNNNNNNNNNNNNNNNNNNNNNNNNNNNNNNNNNNNNNNNNNNNNNNNNNNNNNNNNNNNNNNNNNNNNNNNNNNNNNNNNNNNNNNNNNNNNNNNNNNNNNNNNNNNNNNNNNNNNNNNNNNNNNNNNNNNNNNNNNNNNNNNNNNNNNNNNNNNNNNNNNNNNNNNNNNNNNNNNNNNNNNNNNNNNNNNNNNNNNNNNNNNNNNNNNNNNNNNNNNNNNNNNNNNNNNNNNNNNNNNNNNNNNNNNNNNNNNNNNNNNNNNNNNNNNNNNNNNNNNNNNNNNNNNNNNNNNNNNNNNNNNNNNNNNNNNNNNNNNNNNNNNNNNNNNNNNNNNNNNNNNNNNNNNNNNNNNNNNNNNNNNNNNNNNNNNNNNNNNNNNNNNNNNNNNNNNNNNNNNNNNNNNNNNNNNNNNNNNNNNNNNNNNNNNNNNNNNNNNNNNNNNNNNNNNNNNNNNNNNNNNNNNNNNNNNNNNNNNNNNNNNNNNNNNNNNNNNNNNNNNNNNNNNNNNNNNNNNNNNNNNNNNNNNNNNNNNNNNNNNNNNNNNNNNNNNNNNNNNNNNNNNNNNNNNNNNNNNNNNNNNNNNNNNNNNNNNNNNNNNNNNNNNNNNNNNNNNNNNNNNNNNNNNNNNNNNNNNNNNNNNNNNNNNNNNNNNUGAUGACCUUAGUGGCAUUCAAGAACUCAAGGAUUUUCUCAGUCAGCAGUUUGAGAUGAAAGAUCUUGGACAUCUCAGCUAUUUCUUGGGUCUUGAAAUUACUCAUUCCACAGAUGGUCUUUAUAUUACUCAAGCCAAGUAUGCUUCUGACCUGUUGUCUCAAGCUGGACUCACUGACAGCAAAACUGUUGACACUCCAGUUGAACUUAAUGCGCAUCUGACACCCUCGGGGGGGAAACCAUUGUCUAAUCCUUCUCUUUACAGACGAUUGGUUGGCAGCUUAGUUUACCUCACAAUUACUCGUCUAGACAUCUCUUAUGCUGUUCAUCAGGUAAGCCAGUAUUUGUCUGCUCCACGAUCAACUCACUAUGCUGUUGUUCUGCGCAUUCUUCGAUACCUGAAGGGUACCCUUUUUCAUGGCCUUUUCUACUCAGCUCAGUCUCCUCUUGUACUCCGUGCAUUCUCAGAUGUUGAUUGGGCAGGAGAUCCUACUGAUCGCAGGUCCACUACAGGUUAUUGCUUCCUCCUUGGUUCUUCUUUGAUUUCUUGGCGAAGUAAGAAACAAACUUUUGUGGCCCGCUCCAGUACUGAAGCAGAAUAUCGUGCCCUUGCUGAUACCACAUCUGAGCUCCUUUGGCUAAGAUGGCUUCUUAAGGAUUUGGGUGUAUCCACCUCCUCUGCUACUCCUCUUUAUUGUGACAACCAGAGUGCUAUUCAUAUUGCUCACAAUGAUGCCUUUCAUGAACGGACUAAACACAUCGAGAUUGAUUGUCAUUUUAUCCGUUAUCAUCUUGUCCAUGGUGCUCUUAAGCUUUUCUCCGUCUCCUCCAAAGAUCAACUUGCAGAUAUCUUCACCAAGUCUCUUCCUAAGAGACGCACUCGUGAUUUAGUUGACAACCUCAAGUUGGUCUCACAUCCACCUUGAAGUUGAGGGGGGCUGUUAAAGUAUAUUAUGUUAUGGACUCUAGGCCCAGUUAGGUUACUUGUAUAGUACUUGUACUGCACACUUGUACCGCACAGUACUUGUACCGCACACUUGUACCGCACCUUUGUAUUGCACCCUUGUACUGCACACAUAUGCCUCCUAUAUAAAGGCACUGAUGUAUACUCUUUAAAUCACAGAAUAGAAUACAAUUAUUCUAUAUUUCUAACAAUGAGAAUCAUCUUUACAAAUUCAGCAUCAUCAUCUUUCAAAAACUUGGCUCCUUCUCAAGUUCCGGGCCAGAACACCUGUCAACUGGAACAUCCAAGUCUGGGACUUUUUUCCCAAAGCUGAACUGAUUGUACUUCUGACUGAAAGCACGGCCAACUGUGUCAAGAAACAAGCUGCCAACUCCUCCAUGAAAAGAAACCAAGUCCACAGUCCACGGGAGCAACCAUCCUCCUCGGGCUAAGAGAAAAUCUGUGGGUCUUCCUCAACUAAAAAUUCCAGGAAUCAAUUGCAGAAGAACAAGUGACCUCACAAUCAAGACCUCAGACCAGAGCAUAUUAAGGUGACCAUGCAUGGCCAUGCAGAAGAGCACACGUGGAAGUAAUAAGGUGCUUAGGCACUGAUGUUGAAGCUGUCCCAACCUCCAAUAACUUCUAUGGUUUUAAUUCCCCAUUCUUCCAAUCGUGAAUGGCAAGGAUUUCAGUGUCACUAGCAUGAACCCCUGGUAUACUUGUGGCAUCUUUGGAUCCCUUCCGGACUCAUUUCUCCUAUGAUUGCCAUACCCAAUACAUUAGAAAAGGAGCACUCAGCAGUGUCAUCCACGUCAGUCUUCAUGGAAGCCGAACCAAAUUCCAUAUUUUAUUUUGAUAAUGAGAAUUCAGAUUCUUCAAGUUUUCGGAGUUGUAAUUCACUAGCAACUUAGCAGUUAUAAACAUCGAGCUUUUUCGGAAUUGAAGAAGACUUCUGGCUAAUUGGGCCAUAUCCCAAUUCUAAACAAACUAUCAAUUCCACCAUUCUCAAGGAGUUGUUCCGAGUGAUUUUGGGAUACACACCAGAGUUCAUCAUAGUUCUAUUUUGGAAAUUGUGCAGAAUCAAUUCUCAGUCGUGGGCUUUCUGUGCUGGUUCCUACUGUAUGCCAGUAGGCUUGCUUCUCCUUGAAGACGUGGGCUGAUUUCCUGGGACUUGGCUGCAUUAGCAUGAGAUGCAGCUUCUUUCUCUCAUGGACUUCAAUCAAAAGCUUGCACUGUGAUAUGCCAAUUGCCACCACAUCUAAAUAUCAAGGAGUUGUCAUAUUCUAUGAAAUAAUCUCUCACAAAGAUUGGCCCUCCAUCAUGCAAGAAUAAGUCAUUAUUCUACUGAAUCAAGUCAGCAUGCCAAGUGUUAUCACCUGGGCUUACUAAUGAAAUUGCACCAUCUGUAUGUGUCUGUGAGGCCUUUUUAGUUUUUUGAUGAUGUGAUGGAGAUUAGGUGAGUCUAAACUGCUCUCCAGAGAUGAAGCAACAAUCCCAGGAACAUCUUCCUGGCCAACCAUAUGCAGAAAAACAAGGAACCCGAUUAAUGAACUCAAUGUUUUCAUCGUAAUGAAGGCACCACGCCAUCUAGAUGCCCAGAUUUGCUAGCUUGAAAGUCCUCCCAAAGAAUCUACUCCAUGAACAACAAUAGAACUACUGGAUUCUAACAAUGAUUGAUCACUAAAAUCACCUACAGUAGGUGAAGCUUCGGAAAACUCCCCUGGUCGAAGAGGUACUUGCGCUGGCAACUGGGUGAGCAAGUACAAGUGAUCCCAUAAAUUAGUUAUGACAGAGAUUUAUAUGCGUAAUAGUUGGAGAAAUACUGGAUAAAAAAAAAUAAUAAUAAUUUGUUUCUACCAACCAGAAUUCACUAGCAUAUUCCCACUAAAGUUAACAUGAAUGGCACUUGAAAAUUGCAAGAAUUCUUUAUCCACAUGAACAUUGAGCAUACUCCCAUGCAAGUCAAGCAUUUCAAGUUUUGAAAGCAGCUUGAAACCUUUUGGGGAACCUCUUCACCAGUACUAAAUAAAAAUAUAACAGCAUUCUUGAAUCCAUGAGCCCCUUAAGAAAUAUCCCGAGCAAGUUCCAACAUAGCAGUUACCCACGAACUACAGUCACCAGCUCCUUCAAAAACAGUUUGCACCAGAUUUUGCAUGAAAACAAUCCACUUGAACAGCAUCCUCCCAGUUAGCCAUGUUCUUAAUCUUUUUUGCCUCUGUCAAAGCAUACUGGAGUGCGUCAUCAAGAGCAUCAGAACCAAUAGAAUGGAGAUCCAUCUAGAUUGUUAGGAGAAGUUAGGAAUAUCCAUUUCGGCCUCUCUUUCUAAACAACAUCAGCAAUGAGUUCUGUAUUCGGGCUGAAGUUUCAUCAAUUACUGCUGUGAUGGCAGUUGUGACUGCUGCCCUUGUGUUGCCUAGUUAUCUGCUAAGGAAGGAUCAAACCACCACCAGUUAUGAAAGCUUUCAGAUUUGGCCUUUGAAAUGGCUCCAAGAAGCUUCCUACUGAUUCCUGAUCCGUGUAGGCCGAUUUCAAUGGGAAAAGUGUCUGUUCUAUUUGCGUAUCAGACACUUUGUCACCAAGGCCAAGAACUUCUGAGGUAUUUCCCUGUUGUCGCUCUCUUUGCAUGAUACCAUCACUAAUGUUCAAUCCUAUCUUCAAAGUGGCUUUUCUGCUAGUGGGUCCUGCUCUGUUCCAAAACUAUUGCUAACAGAGGAACUUUGAAAAUAUUCUUCUGAUCCAUCAGCACCUUGAAUUCGAAUCUGAUUGUUGGUUUCACAAAUAUCCCUAACAACACUCUUUCCUCUGACUUACCAAGGUUCCUUAAAACACUGAAAACUGCAGAACCACUUUUAAGGUACUCAACUGAUUCAUCAGUAACUUGGACGCGAGUAAUGAUCACAUGAAUUUCUUCCACAUUUUCUCCUUUACAUCUUUCUCGCUCCGAAACUCGUUUGCAACACUCUCUGGUCCAUGAGUCAUCAGGUGCUUUAAGCAGGUUCAGGGAAUUGUAAGAGGCCCUCCAAUUCUUCUUAUCAAAUCUCAACCAUCUACUGUGCAGAAUCUCCACAAUUCUUCCAUAAUCAGGUCGUGAGUAUAAAUUUGCCAUAAUGACACUAUUACCUGUGUUUUCAGGCUCCAUCUCGAACAAAUGAUCAGAAACAAACUUCCCAAGUUCGACAUCACCAGAAACUGAAACCCCAUUGAGCAGUGCACCCUAGAUUUUGGCAUUUGGUUCAACUGACAUAUUAGAAAUGAAUUAUGUUGCUUCUGAGAGCAUUCCAACUCAGCUUACAACUCCUACCAUUCAAACAUAAUGUUCAACAGAGAGCUCAAUGCCAUAUUUUUGAAACAUCUCAUUAAAUACCUUCGAAGCUCUGUUGACCAUCCAGGGAUGGGCACAAGCUGCUAACACUGCAAUGAAAGUGGCAUGAUCAAGCCUAGUUCCAGAUUGAAUUCCCUGUGCUGCUGCUUUCUGAAAGAGAUACUCCUUUGUCUACUUCAACAACCUUCCUGGAGAACUUCUUCUCUAAUUGAUGGGGUUCUGUAUGUUUCCGAUGAAGGGAAUGCACUCUGGAGGAAGAACUCAAGCUUGACACAACAAAGCUGUAGACGAACAUUCCCUGGCAUCAACUUCCAUUUGUGCAGACCCAUAUGAGGACGAUCUCAACUAGUACGAAUAAUUCUGAAUUCCUUCUCCAUAUCUGAUGAAAAUUGGUGACUUAAAGCAAGCUGAAGCAUCUUAUCAUAUAGAUACAGGGCACAAUCUCUCAUACCAAUAGAUGUCUACUGACCAACCUGAGAUUUUCUGUAACACUCCUCAAAUAAUCAGUUUCUGCAUAUUUAAUGAAACAGGUGCAGCUUUCAUGAAAUUUUUUGGAAAAGUUCUCAUGGCGCUUCUCAUCAGAAUCUUUGACCACAAGAAUUUCAAGCAGUGGGGUUCCUGGAGAUGCAAUAACCAGCUGUCUAGGACUGUGAUUCCUGCCAACAAAUCUUCCCACACUAGAAGUUGUAUGAACUGAUUUACUGGAGGGAUCAUGCACCACUUCCACUAAUAUUUGACUUGUCAUCUAAGCAAGAAUGGUUAGAUGAAACCAUGUAUGAUGAUUGCUCACUGAUCUAUUCCAGAAAAAGCAGGCUUUGUCUGAUCAAAAGGAAGCUGUAGCUUGCCCUUGUAGAAAUUUGAAAGUGCACAAGUAACGUUCCUGAGCAUGUACAGCUUUGCACGCUAGUUCAAUUGUGCUAGCAAAGUAAGCAGAGCCCCAUUGCCAAGGACAAGAUCACCGCAUUUGAAAUCUCAUGAUGCCACCAGUAAGCUUGUUGUCCUUUUGAAAUCCAGCGCAGAUCUCUUCAAGAAUUAGACCAAGGGAAACAGUUAUAAAAUAGUACCAGAUUAUCAGUUAAUUUCAACUAUGAUAUAGAUUUUUGAAUUGAACCCGUAAGCGUUUUUGCACUCAGAUCCAGAGAUGUUGUCUUCUUGCAAUUGAAAAGGUCCAAAGGGAUCCACUCGAUUGGUUUCCAAGGUCCUCUCUUGAAACAGAAUCAUUUUCUACAAAAAUCACCAUCCAGGCAAUCGUUGGGCAUUAUGUCAGAAUUUCCAUCACAAAUGAAUUUCUUGGUAGCACCAUUAGUAGUCUCAACACUCAAGCUCACUGAAUCAACUCCUUCACUAGCCUAUUCAAGUGUUCAAUAGCAGCAAGGAAUUCCUCAUAGUCUAUUGUUCCACUGUCGUCAAUCUCAGCUGCAUCCAAUGUUGUGUCAUCCUUGAGAAUCUUUCCAAAUGCAAUCAACUGAUAACAUAGCUCAUAUAGUGUCCACUGAUUCAAUUUGCACAGCCUUGGCCAAAGGCACUUUUGAAUGGACUCCAGCAUAGGGCACAGUUCCAAGAGAUACAACUGAAGCAGCUCUAGUAGUGGUUGGAGAGGGACUCGUCCUAAUCUCUCAGCCACUCGACCAAUAUUUAUGUCCCUGGAAAAGCAAAUGGAUGAAGUGUUAACAGCCUCACAUUUUCCACACUGUGCAUACAUAUCUGCCAGUGCAUUCCCCGAGAACAAGCCCAAGACCAUCCCACUGACUGAUUAAUUAAUCAAUCCACUUCCCCAGAUCAAGUGCAUCAAAAAACUAAAGAGAAGGAACAGAGAAGAACCAGAAAAAGCAAACAAACAAUAUAUGAACCAAGAAAAGCCACAUCUGAUGCUCUUUCAAUGGGCUUGGACUGGUGGGAAGAGUAGAUUCAAACAAGAAAAAAGCAACCAAUAUCUUCAAAUAAGGCAAAAUGAAACAGAGCUUCACAGUUCUUGCCCAGCCAAAGAAUCCCUCUUCCCUAAAACAAAACCUCACUCCAAAAAUCCUCUCUCCGUGAACUUUUCUUCCUAUGCAAGCCUCUCCCUAAAACCUCGAAUCCUCCCGCCCUCUGCCUCACACUGUUCUAAAACCUUCUCAACCAGAAGGAUCCCCAUACUUCCUACCUCACUGCACUCUAACCAACCUCUACAGCCCACAGCUCUCUCCGUGUGUUUUUUUUCAUUUUUUUUCUUCUUCUCCGGUCCCUCUAAGACCAGUUCUUUGCAGCAGCUUCUCCACUCUCUCUAUUUCCUUUCUAACAGCCAAAAAACUGCUCACUAAAGCUAGCUGUCCCCCUGUAGCCCACUACUAGUCUGCAGAAAAGUGCCCCCUCCAGGUGGCAAAAGGAAGCUGCUCACAAAGGGCCCGAAAAUAGCUUGAAACUAUAAAAGGGAAGAAUAGGAUGAGGUCACAUGUCCUCGUCCUAAGUCACGCUUUCAAAAGCCCUAAAAUCCUUGAAAAUGAACUCUAAAAAAACUAAUCUUAAAGGACCUUUAAUAAUUGUAUUGGGACCAAAAUAAUCUUGUAAUGAUCUCCAAAUUGUAAUUCAAAAAUCAAUAAUAAGCCAAAUAGGUAUAAAGUGAGAGGAAAAAUAAUAAUAAAAAUACAUGUAUUAUGAGGAAAAAAUUAAAGGAUAAACUUUAUUUUUUCUAAUUUAUGCCAAUAAAAAUUUAUAUACAUUAUAUAUAUAAGUUAUAAAUAUUUUCUAAUUCUAACCAUAAAAAACAAGAACUACAUCAUUAUUAAUUUAAUUUUUUUUUCACUCAAUUUUUCUACAAAUAAUCUACCAAUAAAAAAAUAUAUAUUUUAUUUUUCCUAACUUUUCCGUUUAUCCUACUUUUCAUCUUUAUCUUGGCCUUUUGUUCGUGACUUUUCCUCCUAACCGCGUUGAUAGUCGGUACAAUCAUUAUUAGUGAUGACUUAAAGACAGGAGACGGUGGAAGACCAGGAAGCAGAAGGGGUUGACUCUUGAGGAUUUGGAGUUUUACGGCCACGGUGGUGGGUGGUACUGAGCGGCAACUGCAGAUAAGGGACGGGGCUGCUUUAGCCUUGUAGUAGGUGAGUGUUGUUAUUCAAUUAUGCCUUCCUGUUGACCUGUAAUUUCAAUUUGUCAAGAGGUGAAAUAAAUUGGAACUAGUUUAUAAUCAUAGAGAUGUAGUUGGAUCCUGCAGGUUUAAUAUCUAUAUUUAAUUAAGAAACAAUGGUUUCUGAUCUGGAGGCUAGUCUUAAGAUUGAGUUAGCGAAGAGCCUGGCCAGCAGUUGGGAAGAAGUUGUAAAGAUAUACGAGCGAGAACAAAGAGCUCACAAGAUCAAGAUCAGCCAAUCGGGGAACACAGCAUUGCAUAUAGCAGUUUCAUGUGAGCAAGAAUACACAGUAGAACAACUAGUGAAAUCGAUUGCUAGGAAUGGGCAUCUAAGGGAUGUUCUAUCUAUAGAGAAUGGAGAUGGGAACAAUCCUCUCCAUUUGGCAGCCUCACUGGGAAGCAUUUCCAUGUGCAAAUGCAUCACUGAUGAGUGUAAAGAACUGUUGGGUCGCCGCAACGGAGAGGGUGAUACGCCCCUUUUAAGGGCAGUUCGCUAUGGCAAGAAAGAGGCUUUCCUCUGGUUGUACGGUAUGUGUGAAGGCAACACAGCCACUGGCUACUGUAAGAACGACGAUGGUAAAAACGUGCUCCAUCUUGCCAUUGAAGGAGGACACAUGGGUAAGCAAUAUUAGGGUGCUGUUCUUCAGUCUACAUGUUUUAUUUCUUAAUUAUAAUAUUAGGUUAAAUCAUGGUCUGUGGUGGACGGACAGAUUUGGCGUUUCAAAUUAUUCAAAAGGAGGAAGAUCUCAUGGACUCUUUUGACCGUGAAGGAAUCUCCCCUCUGCAUGUCCUAGCUGAGAAGCCUACUGCAUUCAGAAGCGGAAUUCAUUUCAGCUUGCUCAACAAAAUCAUGUAUCAUUGUAAGAUUCUCCCUACCAAUCGAAAAACUUGGGGCUGAAUUGAAUCCAGCGCGUGCAUCAUUUGUUAUCUUGUAUCUUAUAUCUCCAUCAAGGCCAUAAAUUUCUGACAGUUGCCCUUGUUAAUCAAAUUGGAAAGGUAUUUUUGUUGAAGAGCUCGUCCCAGGGGCUCCCAAAGCAAAGAGACAUCUUUCAAGACUACAGAGAUGAUUAAAUUACCAGUUGGGACUGAUCAUUUANNNNNNNNNNNNNNNNNNNNNNNNNNNNNNNNNNNNNNNNNNNNNNNNNNNNNNNNNNNNNNNNNNNNNNNNNNNNNNNNNNNNNNNNNNNNNNNNNNNNCUUUUGACCGUGAAGGAAUCUCCCCUCUGCAUGUCCUAGCUGAGAAGCCUACUGCAUUCAGAAGCGGAAUUCAUUUCAGCUUGCUCAACAAAAUCAUGUAUCAUUGUAAGAUUCUCCCUACCAAUCGAAAAACUUGGGGCUGAAUUGAAUCCAGCGCGUGCAUCAUUUGUUAUCUUGUAUCUUAUAUCUCCAUCAAGGCCAUAAAUUUCUGACAGUUGCCCUUGUUAAUCAAAUUGGAAGGUAUUUUUGUUGAAGAGCUCGUCCCAGGGGCUCCCAAAGCAAAGAAGAACAUCUUUCAAGAACUACAGAAGAUGAUUAAAUUACCAGGUGGGACUGAAUCAUUUAGAAGAAUUUUUUUCUUUUUGUGGCUUCCUGUUCACUUUCUUAAUGCUGCAACCAUAAUUCAUUGUCAAGGUAGUUAAUUAGUAUGAGACAGUAACAAAUAUGGUCAUAAUUCAUUGUCAAGGUAGUUAAUUACUAUGAGACAGUAACAAAUAUGGUCAUAAUUCAGCAUAAGAGAUGUCAAUCGAUCCCUCUUUCAGUGCUUUCUUGCUCAUGUGUGCUGUGACCAAUCUGUACCCCAAGUAACUAGUGGAAAAAAAUGCAGGAAAAUCUAAAAAGCACUUGGAUCAAGAGAAUCCUGAAGAAGGGCAAGGUAUUGAACUUCAUGGUGAGUGUUGGAUCUACUUGAUUUAGGCUAAAGCAAUCUUAAAAGCAACUUCAAGGAAACACUGAUUCCUACAACUUUGUAUAGGUCAUAAUUCAAGCAAUAUUGGAGCUCAAGGACACAUACCAUUCCUCUCAAAAUAUGGCAGAUGCCUGAGGUUCAUCAAGCUUCUUGUAUCCCAAGUACUGCUGGUUAUCAUCUCCGUGCUGCCAGGUAUAACACCAUAUUAAUCACCAUCCCAAAUUUCUCUUGUAUUAAUUUCCAAAACAAUAUAGGUUCAAAGUAUGUUCUUAUUUCUUUGUGGAUACAUGUUUAGGUUCAAGUCAGAUAAAGAAGCUAAAAGAGAAAAAGGAGAUGCAUGUGUGGUCUCUUCAGAUCAUGAACAAACUACUUGAACAUGCUGAGAGGCAUACAUAUAAAAUGAAUCCCAAAUAUGAUGAGCCAAGCCGACGUCAUCAUGAUUGUUGUAUUUCAGAGUAUGGAUACUUCCGAAGGGGAGGAGGUAGCCUCUAUGUCAACCCUGUUCAUUACAAAUAAACUUCUUGGUAUAUAUAUAUAUAUAUAUAUAGAAAGAUGCGGAGACAAGGUAACUGACCACCCUCUCCAAUAUCUUUAACCGAUAUUGAGGAGAGGCAGAUCCGGUGCAGAGUAAUCACAAUUCAAAUUCUUCAGAUUUUGACCAUUGCUAUCAGUCUGUCGGUCAAUUGGGCUUUCUCUUGUGGUAGAAGAAUGAAUUUUGUUUUCUUUGCAGCUUUGGAGACGCCAAUACUAGUUGCAUCAAAGAAUGGUAUCAUGGAAAUGGUAACGAAAAUCCUGGAACUGUUUCCUAUGGCCAUUUAUGACACCCACAAAGAAAAUUGGAAGAACAUAGUGCUGAUGGCAGUAGAGAAUAGGCAAUCACAUAUAUAUGACUUCUUACUCAACAGAAAGCAUCUUCUUGAUAGAGAAAUUGCAUUUCGUGCUGUUGAUAACCACAGAAAUACUGCAUUACACCUAGCUGGAAAGCUAGCAGGUUACCACCACCGCCAGCAUAUCCCCACCAGCAUGUUGCAAAUGCAGUGGGAAGUCAAGUGGUACCAGGUAUGCAAAACUCAAGCCAAGCUUUAAAUUAGCUUUCAAGAAAUGACUGUCAAUUGAUGAAUAAUAACUUAAAUUAUGCACUUGGUUCAAUGCAGUACGUGCAGAAUUCCGUGCGAUUUGAUAUUAAAAUAAAUCGGGAUGAAUGUACUCCAGAUGAGAUCUUCCAAGGAGAACAUGAAAAUCUUGAAGAUGAAAGCAAACGAUGGCUAAAUAGCACAUCCAAUUCCUGUUCUUUCAUUGCAGCACUCAUAGCAACUGUUGCCUUUGCCUCAUCAGCCUCUGUGCCUGGUGGAGUAAACCAAGACACAGGGGUACCAAUUCUUCUACACCAUCUGGCUUUCAGUAUUUUUUCAAUGUCAUCCCUACUUGCUCUUAGCUGUUCAAUGAUCUCCUUGCUAAUAUUCCUCGCCAUUUUCGUCUCCAAGGACCAAAACCAAGAUUUUACUAGAAACUUGCCGAGGAAAUUUUUGCUUGGUUUAACCUCUCUCUUCAUAUCCAUAGCGGCCAUGUUGACCUGUUUCUGCUCUGGGAACUUCUUGAUGCUUAAGCAUCAAUUAAAAUAUGCUGCAAUUCCGGUAUAUGCACUCACCGGCUUGGUAAUGGCAUACUUUGUUCUGAAGCACUUUCCAUUAUUUAUUGAUCUUAUGAAGGCUACAUUUCGUAAGGUGCCUGAGCGUAUAUACAAGGAGUAUCUGUAGAUUGCUUUCGAUCUGGGCGCAAGGAGGACCUUAUGCCAUGGUGAUGGCCAGAUCUGAUGAUGAUGUAAUUUUUCAGUUGUUUUGUGUCUUUCAAAUUUAUAUAUGACUGUAAUAUUCCUCCUGGAGUACAGAUUCUUAUCAAAUUGAUUGAUAACACGCAAACAAUGGUGACUUCGUUAAGCCUCCCAUUCUCCCCUUGCAUUCCCGUAAAGGCCUCCAAAGCUCUAUUCAUCUCUCCGUUUCUCAUAAACACCCAUCAAUCAUUGCUGUCCAACAAGCCGUAUCCUUACUCCCGACCAGACCAAAAACAGUACCAGCUCCCUCAACCAGAGUCCCUGAUCACUAUAGAGAGGAGAUCAGCACGGUGGACGCGAUAACAUCUUCAGGCAUUUCAUCAAACAUCCAACGUGCAUCCCCCGGUUCCCCUCAUUUUCCGUAAAACUCCAUCAUCCUCAACUUCACCAAACGGUUUGAGCAGGAGCCCAGCUUCAUAGGCCGGCCCGGCUGUGGAUCUCUUUCCCCUCCCUUAAAGCCGAUUGGGAGCCACAUGCUUUCAAAUUAGGAUUCGUAAAGGAAAAGUUAUUAAUAUAUACCCGUAUUCCUAUCUUAAUAAAAAUAUGAGAGACUAAUAAUAAAUCAAAAGGUUAUAUUAACGAGAAAAAUAUAAGGAUGAGAAAAAGCUUUAUCAAGUAAAAGGAUAAAAAUCAAAUAUAAUUAAAACUAGUUAAAAAUUUAUAUAUUUUUAAAUUAUUUAAUAUUUAUAUCAAUAAACUAAAAUAAUAAAAAUAAGUUUAAAAUAGUAAAUAAAAAUAAUUUAUCGACUUUUAACCUAUUUUUUAUUUUUCUUCACUUUUUAUUUCCUUCCACUUUUUUUUUUUUAUAUUUUAUUUUCUCAAUGUUUUUCCUCAAAUUUUUUGGAAACCAAACAUAACUUAUAGUCAAAUUGUUAAAAAAUAUUUAAUUUUACGACCUAAGUAUCAAUCAUUAUUCUCUAAAAUAAAAUAAAAAAUGAAGAUUACAAUAAAAUUUUCCUCCUCGUUUAACUCAAGAGUUUUUUUCUAUGUAAAGCUACUCAAUUUGUUUAAUACAUGAUAAUAGAACAAAAGUGGAGAACGUCAUUUUUGAUACUUGAAAAAUUAAAUAAUAAUAAAAAUUAAGAUAGAAUCAUAUAUAAUUAAAAUAACAUAAAUACGAAAAUUAUAAAUUUUAAUUUACAUAUAAUAGUAAUAAGAGUGAAGGAGCUUAAAGGCUAUGAGUUGAGUAUAGAUUGCAAGGGAUUGGUUGAUGUGUUUGAGUAUGUGCAACACAAAGAUUUUUUUUUUUGGAUACAUUAGAAUGAAUGUACCAAAUAUCGAUAAACUCAUAUAUCAUACUAUGAAGUAUUUAUUUAUAUUAUAAAACAAUUUUUCACGUUAUUACUAUCUUAUAAAUACAAACUAUGAAAAUAGAGAGAAGUUCCUUACUCCAUUUAUAGGAUAUCAUUUAAAUAAAUGGAAACCCAAGUUAAUACUAAAAUAUCGCGUUGAUGAAAGAUGGAAGCGGCUCAAGGUAUACUUUUGCUUUGUUUUUUGUUUUAUUUAUUUAUUUAGGUUUUAAUUUGUAUACAAAAAAUAAGAAUUAUUCACUUUUUUUAUUUCUAUUAUAACAUUGUUUAGGAGCAUUAGAUGAGGUAUACAUUAAGAUGAAUGUAAUAGAUAUCGAUAAACCCAUAUAUUGUAUUAUGAAGUAUUUAUUUAUAUUCUAAAAUAAUGCGUAUUUAUUUAUAUUCUAAAAUAAUGCAAUUAAAUUUCUUUGUUAGGUUAUUAGGUUAUCACUAAUGUUUUUAUCUAAUUUUAAAUGUCAUAAUAUAAAGUAACCUUCAUUUCUAUUAGCUUAGUGACAAAAAAAAGGUUAGAAUGCCAUGAAACAUAAAGAGAACUAAUAAUAAUAAUAAAACAGGUGAUCAGAAGGAAACUCCAUGACUCAAAUUUCAAUUCAAUAUCUAGUGGUCAUAAAGAUAGAACUCAUUGGCCAAACAACACAUUUGCUACUCAAACAAGUUGAUACCUUUGACGACACUGCAAAAUGGUAGCAUGUAUUGAACCAUCUUUUGACGACAAUAGGGGUUAAUGUAUAUAACAAUACCAAAUCCCAACAGGAUUAUUACGUAGAAUGCAACAAAACUAGCAUAAAAAAUGACAGGAUCCACAUCGUACCAUUUUAUUUCACUUUCAUCUGAUGGUGUUAAUGGCGAAUGUGACAACACUGCAACAAGGCUACAUAUUCUCUUUAAUAAUAACCCACAAAGAAAAGGAUUCCCAUCAUAGCUCUUCUUAUCAGAUGUAGAGAAUUGUGCUUUCUCCGCAACUCAACCUGACAAAUUAUUGUAAGCCAUAGUGAAUACUGCCAAAAAGUGCAUAUCAACCCGUGUUGAAGGAAUUUCUCCACUUAAAUUAUUGUAAGAGAGUUCUAGGCUUUCUAGUUGGAUCAGGUUGGAAAAACUACUUGGGACAGGCCCAGUUAAGCAGUUGUAAGACAAGGUCAAUGCUCGAGUCUGACCUAACCUUUCUAAGGUAAGGGGGAUUUCACUUGUUAGAUGAUAAAUCUAGUUCAACAUAAAAUUAAUUAUGCCUUCUUUGUAAGAGCUAGAUAACAAACUCGACUUCAACUUCUUUAUCCUCCAUUGGAAAUUAGUGUUGGAGAGGUUAUCAUCUCAGUAAUGCCAGGUAUAACACCAUAUUAAUCACCAUCCCAAGUUUCUCUAGUAUUAAUUUCCAAAACAAUAGAGGUUCAAUGCAAGUUCUUGUUUCUUUGUGGAUACAUGUUUAGGUUCAAGCCAGAUAAGAAAGCUAAAAGAGAAAAAAGAGAUGCACGUAUGGUCUCUUCAGAUCCUGAACAAACUACUUGAACGUGCUGCAAGGUGUAUAUAUGAAAUGAGUCCCAAAAAUGAUGAGGCAGUCCCACGUAAUUACGGUAUUCAUUACAAAUAAACUUCUUGAUGUGUAUAUAUAUAUAUAUAUAUAUAUAGAUAUAUAUAGAAAGCUGUGGAGACAAGGUAACCAACCACUUUCUCCAAUAUCUUUAACUGAUAUUAAGGAGAGUCAGAUCUGGUGCAGAGUAAUCACAACUCAAAUUCUUGAAAUUUUAACCACUGUUAUUAGAUGAUUGGUCCAUUGGGCUUUCUCUUGUAGUUGAAGAAUGAGUUUUCUUAUCUUUGUAGCUUGGGGGAUGACACCAAUACUAGUUGCAUCAAGGAAUGGCAUCGUGGAAAUGGUAGAAAAAAAUCCUGCAACUGUUUCCUAUGGCCAUUUAUGACACCGACAACAAUUCGAACAUAGUGCUGAAGGCAGUAGAGAAUAGGCAAUCACAUAUAUAUGACUUCUUACUCAACAGUAGUCUUCUUCUUGACAGAGAAGUUUCAUUUCACGCUGUUGAUCAUGACUGGAACAAUUUUGAAUGUCAUAAUACAUAGUAACCUUCAUUUCUUAGUAGUUAGAAUGCCAUGAAACAUAAAAGAACUAAUAAUAACAUUAAUUAAUAAAAUAGGUGAGAAGGAAACACCACUAUUCAAAUUUCAAGUCAUUAUCUAGUGGUCAUAAAGAUAGAACUUAUUGGCCAAAGCAACACAUUGGCUACUUACACAAACAAGCAGAUAACUUGUGGACGGUAUCAUUAGCAAAAUGGUAGCAUGUAUAUAUCCAGCGAGGGAUAUAUACAGCGUUCUCAAAGCCAGUGUUCUCAAACUCUUCAGGGUACCUAUCCAGCGAGGGAUCUCACCAGACAUGUGAUUAUUGCUGACAUCCAACAGCUCUAGCCAAGACAUUCUGGAGAUUACAUUUGACAGACUGCCAAUGAACUGGUUAUUGUUCACAAGCAGCCAAUGGGGAAAUCUCCUUGCUGAUUUGUUAUGAGAUAGAUCAACUAUUCUUAACUAGGAUUGGUGCCAAAGAAACCCAGGGAUAUGGCCACUUAGCUUAUUAAGAUUACACCCUGAUAAAACAAGGACCUUCAACUGAAACGACGGAACCCAACCCGGAAAUUCAGUUUCCACCUCUAAAUUGUCGUUAUUGUUGGCCAUUGAAACUACCUCUAGCUUGGAGAGAUUGGCUAACGAGCUGAACAAAAAUGAACCGUGAAACGAUUAUUACUUAGAUCCAUAAACUGAAGGCUUGUGAAGCUAGCUAUCAAGGAAGAAGAAAGAUUCGCAGUAAACAGGUUCCUAGAAAGAUCCAAGAAUCUCAGAGAUUUAUAUCAUUUUUAAGAUUGAAAUGAUAGAGAAUAGAUGGGUGUUUUUCAAGAGAACAAUCUUCUUCUCUUGUGUGUUGCAUGAACUCACCUUAAUUUCUAACACUUUUAAUUAGUUUUUAAAAAUAAUUAUCCUUUCAAGAUAAGUCUUCAAGAAUUAUUUUAUUUUAUAUUAAGACAAAAGAUGAAGUAAAUUCAUACACCUAAACUAGCGAGCUAGUCCUCUAAACGGAAUUGUUAGAGCCAAAAAAGAAAAAUGAGGAAUCCAAUGCUAGAUGUUUGUUUUAGCUAGGUACAUACCUUUAAUGGGUAAGGAGCUAUUGAGGUGAUUAGUUGACAAAGAUAAAGACUUGAGUGAAGCCAAGAUUCCAAUAGAUGGAGGAAUACUUCUAGUGAAAUCAUUCUUGCUCAUAUCUAUCAUCCCUAAAUGGCUGAAAGUUUUCAUGUCUGCAAAAAAGUUAAAUUUUAGAAUGAACAUAAAUAACAGACACUACUACAAAAAUUAUAAAUAACAACGCUCAAUUCCAUGACGCUUUUUAAAAGUGUCAAGGAAUUCAAGCAAUAAUGGCGCUUGUUCAAUAACGGCAUUUUUUAAAUAUUUAAGUUGGCGCUUGAAAUUUUUCCAUCAAUAUUGGCGCUUUACACAAUGAUGUUUUAAAAAGAUGGCAUUUUUUUUAAGUGUCGUUGUUGGGUUGGAUAUUAUGAACAACCUUAGUAGUGUUUUACAUAAGGAUGUUUUAAAAAAAUGGCGUUUUUUCUAAGCGUCAUUGUUAGGUUGGAUAUUAUGUAGUUAUAACAAGCGUCAUUAUCUCCUAUAUUAUAUAUAUAAACUCAUGUUUCCCUAUUUCUCAAACAUCCCAAACACCCUAAAUACCUCACCUCCUCUGAAAAACCUAACUUGUAUAAGAACGCUAAACCCAAAACCAUCCAUAAUUUGCUACCUUCAGCCAUCGAGAAACACAUUGGAGACCACCAACAAUCAAGGAACGACCUUCUUGGCUACUACCAACUGGCAGUCUUACCGGCGAUCGUUAGGAGUGCCUCACCAGAGACACCCAAAAAAAAUUUCACAUGCAUUUGGGGUCAUUGUAUUGGGUAACUUUCGCAUAAGGUAAAGAACAAUAAAUAAAAAGAAAAAGGAUUUGGUUCAUGUAUUUUCAAAUCUCGAACAUAGUUUUGUCUAUUACAGUUUCUGAUAUGUUACUCUGCUACUAGAAUCUUUGUAUUUCUAUUGGAAAGAUUGAGUUUUUGGUUUGUGUUCAGAGUGGUGCAAGAAAGCUCAAUGGAUGGAAAUGGGAAAGAAGGGGAAAUCUCGAUUGUGAAUAUUGGAGGUGGGAGUGUCUUUGUUUUGUAUUAGAAUAUUGGGGUUUCCUUGGUCUCUUCAAGAUAAAAGUAUUGUAGUGGUUUUGUAUUUUUGUAGGCCUGUUUUUGGUUAUGGAGAGUGGAUGACCCAACUAGAUCCGUAGAAAUUUUGUUUUUCAAAAGUAAAAUUUGAGGGUUUGAAUAUCUUGAGAUUUUAUUUGAGUUUAAUGUUUGUUUGGGUGUGUGCAGAUUUGACUUUGUUUUAGAUUUUAAAACCCAUUCAAGGCUUUGGUGAAAUGGGAUACUGAGAAGCAUGCUCUCAGUUCCUGAUUCGAAAGUGGAGUGCUUUGAUGGAAAAGUGGUUGUUUUGUGAGUGACUCUUCUCUGCAGAUUCAUAGCAUGAUAUUUAGUUUUCUCAGCUUUAAAAUUUUUUGGGUCUUCUAUUGUUUAUUGAUUUGGAUGGUUAAUGGUUAAUUUAUAUUUGGAAUUUAAUAAUAAAAUCUAGCUAUAAUAGAUGAUAGAACAAACUAAUCAUUAUUUUUUUUUAUAACAAAACCAAAAAACAUUAUACUUUAAUAAAGAAUAUGUAGUAUUCUUAUAUAUUAAUAAAUUUAAUUAUAUCUAUGUAAAUGAGUUCUUAAAAUUUUCAUUAUUAAAUAUCAUAAUUAAUUUCAAUAGUGAAUCAUUAAAUUGAUUCUCCUCAAUUUUUUAUAAUUUAUAAAGGAAAAACAGUAUAAUCUCUCUAAUAAAUUAAUAAUGAAUUAAGUAACUAUUUUUCAUUAUUUUGUUUAGGCAUUUGAAUAUAGUCAUUAAAAUGUUAUAUUUUUAUUAGUUAUUAAAAUGAGAUAAUGAAAAAUAAUUUUAUUUUAGGUGUAAUAUUUUUUAAAUAUUUAUCAUUUUAUUAUAUAGAAGACAAUGGAUCUUAAUUAUAAAAAAAUCGACUUAGUUUGAACAAUAGAAUAUUCAAACUUGAUCUAGGUGCCUUAGUGCCAUGACAUUGCAUAAAGUUGAAACAUUCACAUUAUUGAAAACCUUAAAUUUAUGGUAAAUUUUUUUGGUCCCAAAAUAUAUAUUUUAAGAUAUUAAAAUUUUAAUUUAUGGUUUAGUUUAAUAAUUUGAAAAGUGAUGACUUUCCAUUUAUGCAAAUUUAUUGAAUUACUGUGAGUACAUAAUAAGAUAAAUAGUAAGGCAAUUCUUUGAAGCAAUGCUUUGACCCUGAGUAGGUUAAGUAUUUUAGGAUGCUCACAAAUUCUUUCAAUUUUUUAACCUUGCUUAUUUGUAUGACAUUUAUUGAUUCUUUGACCUUGCUUUUCCUAUAAUAUUAGACUUAUCUUUACACUAUUAAAUUAGAUAUCACAGUACAUUCAAUAAGUAUUUAAUUAUAGUAAAAUUUUGGAGUACUAGUAUUAAAUUAAAGUUUUGUAUGUGAUCAUAUUUUCAUUUUUUAUACUUUAUAUAUAUAUAUAUAUAUAUAUAUAUAUAUAUAUAUAUAUAUAUAUCAUAUUCUUUAUAUCUUUAUUAUAUUCUUCGUAUAAUAUUUAUACCUAAUCAAUAAACAUAUUCAAAAAAAAUUGGACCCCCUAUAUUAAAAAAAGCUGAACCAUUGUUGUGAUAUUGUGAAUAAAAUUAACCUUCCCAUCUUAUCAUACUAGAAAAAAAUCAGUGAUAAUUCGUGGGGUGUCAUGGCCUUAGGAGUAAUAUAUUAUUGUUGGUAUAUGCUAUCUAAUUCCUUUUUAUGACAUCGGACUUCAAACAUUUAUUGACAAUAAAAGGCUCUACAAAUUGAAUUUUGGAAAGUUUUUAUUAUUGAUAUGAUAAUUGUAAAGGCCUAAGUACAGUAGAAAAUAUUAUUUUUAAAAUUUGACCUUUACACUUUAAUUAUAGUUGGAUUGUUACAAAAUUUUCAAAUUAAUUUAACUCUUUACAAAUGGUUGAAUUAUCCUCAUAUAAAACUUUUUAUUCAGCCCAUUUAUUAAUGGAACUCCCUUGUAAUUGUUACAGUCUUUACACAACAUUUUGCACCUUUAUAUUGAUAGGUUGAGAAAGGAGAAUUCUACAUCCUUAUUUAUCCAUAAAUUAAAUUUAUUUGUUUUUAAGCCUAUUGAAACAGAUGCAUUUGUGGUUAACCAAAGACACACUAAUAGUUAAUUAAUUAUUUUAUUUUAAACUUCAAAGAAGUGGUUAACUAUUGUUUUGGUUUAUUUGUUCAUAGUAAACAAAUAUACAUAAUACAAUUGGAUCCUCCAUAUUAUAAGUGGAUCAUUCUAUAUUUAGAAACUUCAAUAUUCUAAGAUAAGUUUUAGAUUUUUCUAACUCUUUUUUUAAUUGUAUAUAAUAGUAAAAACACCAUUUGAAAAAAAAAAAAUAUAUAUAUAUAUAUUUAUAUANNNNNNNNNNNNNNNNNNNNNNNNNNNNNNNNNNNNNNNNNNNNNNNNNNNNNNNNNNNNNNNNNNNNNNNNNNNNNNNNNNNNNNNNNNNNNNNNNNNNAGGAGAUGACGCUUUAGAGAAGUGUCAUCUUAUACCUUUAUUGACACUUAAAAAGCGUCAUUGAUUCUCUUUUAUCUUGUAGUGAGAGUUUAGCUAUUUUAGUUCAAAAAAUGCUACAAAUAAGUGUACAAACGGUUUUCUAAAAUUGUUACCCUCGUUGCUCUAAUAGAUUACAUGGAUACAAAAGGAUGCAUAAAAUUAUACACUAAUAUGGAAAUAUCAUACCAAAUUUAAUCCCCUUAUCAAAGUUGAAAAGAUGACAUUUGUACCUCCCCAAAUGAUUCACUAAAGUUUUAGAAAUGUGGGGGGAAUCAAAGAGUGAAACCAUGGAUCCAAUGGUGAGGGGAAAGAAAAUAAAAAUGUGGGAUCAAGUCCUUAUCAGCAUUUUAAGAGAAAAUGCCAACAUUAAGCUCUAUAAAUGGCGACACCUUAUAAGUGGUGCCUUUAUCAAGAAGGCUUCUGCUUGAAAAGGCACCAUAAAUGGUGCCACUCCCUUUUUGUCACCAUCGUGCCACCGUUUUAGGGAGCAACUAUAUGCUUCCUUCAAUUAUUUUCCUCCUUUUUUUUAUUAUUUAUCAAUCUUUCCUGAUUUUUCCCACUAGCAAAAUAAUAACCAAAUCCCGUGAAAAAGAUUGAUCUAUAAUGGGUUUAUAAUUCAAAAGAAAAAAAAAAUUAUUAUGGCUCAUAUGGAUAUCUCUAACUUGCUUAACCGACUUCAAAAUUAAGAUUGGUUGAAAUGGGGUUAUGUCAUUGAGGCAUGCAACUUUAAUCCUUUGGCUCUACUCUAACUUUGUUCUUGCCUCCCAAAUGUCUCGAAAACAAUUUGUAUUUAUUGAAACAACCCAAACAUCGAUGUUUGAAGGGAAAAUAUGUGAAUGUUGGGUGCAUGUGAGGUAGUGUUUAUUAGAGAAUUCAUUACAAUAGAUUUUCUUUCUAUUUUCAAAUUCUUGUAAUUAGUUGUAACUUCCUAUUUUUGUUGUAAUUCCCUAAUUCUAGGAUUGUUUUCUAUUUUUGUAUUUUGGGCUAAUUCUAGGAUUGUUUCCUACUUUUGUUGUAAUCCCCUAAUUUUAUGAUUGUUUCCUAUUUUUGUGUUUUAGGUUUUGUGUAUAUAUAUUCAUUUUUAAUCAAUGAAAAAGUCAAGUCAUUGUUUCUCAAUAAUCCUCUUUCUACUUCAACUUGUGUAAACUUGGUUAGCCAGGAAGUGCAUCUAAUGCCAAACUUGAAACUAAAUGUAAUUUUUAGCCCUCUUACCAUUUAGAUUAUGAAUUCAAUAAAGUGUUAUAGUAAUUUCCUUAGAUUUUCUUCAAGAAGUAAAAUAUUCAGGAUCUUCCUUCAUAAGUCUAAGAGGGUGAUUGAAUCCACUGAUGUGGUGAUUAAUGACAUAAGAAGUAAUAGAAAAGAGUUCUAAUCUAGUGAAUACAAAGUAAUAUUCCUAUGUAAUUUUCUUGAGUUCAUCUUAGGAUUAGGUCACUUAAUUCAACUCACUUGAGCCCUAAUUAAUUAAUUAACCCUAUUAGACACCAAUUAAUCAAUUAGUCAAAUCCAAAAAAUUAUUCAUAAACUUUUCUGCUAUCUUACAUAUUUACUAAAAUUACCUUAUACACAUGUGAAUAAAAAACCUAAAUGCCACUCAAUAAACGUGUCUUGAAGGAAAAAGAGCUCAAGCGAGGACCAGUGGUACCCAUACGAAAAUAUUGGCUAUCUCAAAAUCUAAUUUUAAAGUUGACUCAGCAUCCCUCUACAAAGAGUCAACUACACUCGAGUAUUCUAUAAUAUUAGAUUGAGAUAGAGUACUUGGGUCUAUGACUUAAUAGAAUUUGCAUGCAAGCUCCCCAUGAAUUGAUGCUUGUAAUCUAAUAAGAGAAUGUUAUCAACCUCUUAAGAUUAUCUAUAUCAUCAUUAAGUCUCAAAUCUUCAUAUUAUGUGAUUAACUAACAUACUAUAGCUCUCUAAAAGCUUAUGUUAAAUUCCAUGAAAAGAAUUACUACAACCAUUUAUUUCAUGAUCACAUGUCUUUAGGAUCAUCUAAGGGGACACGUUGUUUCAAACCUAUGAGAUAUCAUGGUGCUUAUCUUAAGAAUAACUAUCGUCACUUGCUUCAAUCAACAACAACCCAAUCCAUGGGGAAUAUAUGACAACCUUAGGGUCUCACCUAUAGGUCAAAGCCACUGAAAACCUCUACACUACCUCAAUAUUCUCUCAAGGUUGAGAGCUCAUGUAACAUAAUAGUUUGGUGAAUCAUGUCCACUCGAUAAAUAAUGUCAUGAUUUAUUUUAGGUCCUGUUCAAUGUGUAACCAUACACAUUUGUGCAUUCAUCAUGGGAAACCCAUCCCGAUGACUAAAAUAAUUCAUUCCUCCAAUUAUGAGGUAGUGUGCUAUAGUCUCAUAUAGAUUGCCUAAGUCCAUGAACAAACUGUGAACAACUCAUCAAUCUUGCAAGUAAUCUAUGACUUGGAUUUUCCAUGCAAUUCCUAAUGCACCUAAGUCAUAUACAAUGCAAAUGAUGCAAACUUGAAUGUUCAACAUAGAUAAUGCAUAAAUAUAGGAUAGUGAGUGGAGAAACAAAAUCAUAAUAUAAAUAUUAAAGAAUUUUAUUUAUUGUUAUAUUAUGUCAUACUUUUAAGGGCUUUAUCUCAACAGUACCUCCUCAAUCACAACAUUUGCAGUGUAAUUUUUAUUCUCAUCCCUAUUCAAUGCUCUACAAUUCUUCUUUAUGUGACCAAGCUUACCAAAAUUUUAACAUUUCACAUUUCACCAUUCUCUAGAUUUUCCUUUUCCAUUCUUUAAAUUCAAUCUAUUAUGGCCUCAGUUAGAACUAUUUUCAUAACUCCUACCCUUGGUCCCAACAUAUACGACAAAUUUUAAUGUUGUUACUUUACCCAAAUCUUUCCUACGAACUUCCUUAGCAAGAAUUCAAUUUCUGAUAUCAUUGAACUUUAAUUUCAAGUUCCCUAUAGAAUUACUGACUUUUGCUCUCACGAGCUCCCAACUAUUUGGUAGUGAGGUCAGAAGAAUAUUUAAGGCACAACUUCAUCAUCAAAAUUGAUUUCAACUAAGGACAAUUGAUUGACAAUCAUGUUAAAUUCAUUCAAAUGCUCUACCACCGGAGCACCUUAUCCCAUCUUCAAAAUAAAUCACUUUUUCAUGAGAUGUACCUUGUUAUUUGCAUAAGGCUUCUCAUACAUGUUAGAAAAGCCCUCCUUUAGUCCUUUUAUGGUUUUCUCCUUCGCCAUAUUAUGUGACACAUUCUUUGACAAUGUGUAGACCCCCUGAGUAGCGGCUAGUGGCAACAGAACCCGAGAAUGAGUUGGGGGUGGCAGCCAAAACAGGGCGGCCAUAGGACGAGAUGGGCAGGUUUUUUUACGGCGAGAUGGGACGGGAAGAAGGGGGAAAAAACAGAGCAAAAUGGGUGCGAGAGGUCCUGAGUCCAAGGAGGGAGAGGGGGUUCGGAAAAUUUGGAGUGCAUGAAAGAGAGGAUUGGUCAGAAAAAGCUAGGGCGGGCAUCCAGUGUGGUUUACAGGUAUGUUCACAUUUCACCAUACUUUUUGUUAUUCUGAGCAUCACUCCCACGCCCUUGUUGAUUUAGUUGAUGUUUUUUUUACUCAUGUCGUUGAUGUCUUCUCCAUUGCAUCAAUUUGGUUUGAAUAAUGGAUGAGGGUCUCUGUCAUAUUCAUUGUGCCAUCCAGAUAUGCAGGGUGUUGUUUUUUUGGUUUUGUGUUUUGGAACCCAUUCUCUUCUCCCCCAGCAUGAGCGUUAAGAACCAUGCAAGCAUGGCUGUAUCAUACCCAUCUCCUACCUCACCACCUCACCAUCUCACCACUCACACUUCUCAUCCCUUUUUCUCCCGUGCUCAUCCCUAUUUCAUCCACGUACCUUCCCCUCUUCAACGAGCGGAAAUUCACCCUUGCCUUUCGUGAGCUCCUCCGUAAUACCAGAAGCCUCGCCACAGUUGUAGCGGAUGACGAUGUCGCCUUCCGUAGCAGCAACAACAAACGCAGCCCCGCCGGCUUGGGUGCAGCCCCGCCGUUUUAGGCGCAUCAGGCGCCAGUUCCGCCGUCCUAGGCCCAACUCUAGAUGGCGCCGCCACCCUAGCAGCAGCAGUCGCGCCUUGAGGUCGCGAGCUGAUUCUCCCCGACGCCGGCACGCGGUUCGCCCCACAUUGCUCCGACCAGGUGGACAGCCGCGCCAGUCGUCGGCGACGGCAGCAACGUCUCUUGGUGCCGCUGGCGGUAGGAGCUCCCUCGGAGGGUGAUUUCCAGGCGGGAGGGGAAGCUAGGAAGAAGAUGAAUUUGGUUUGGGCUUGGGUUAAGGCUAGGCCCAAUUUUGUGUUUGGUUUUGGUUUUGGGCUCAGGCUUGAGUUGGGGGCACUAGGCCCAGGUUUGUGAUGGAUGUUUGCAUUGGGCUUGCUUAUGAAGGCUUUGGGCUUGGGUUUGAAUUUGGAGCCCAGGCUCAAGCCUAUGCUGAAGAUGGAGCCUUUGUCUUAAGCCCAUUUCUAUUAUUAUUAUUAUUAUUAUUAUUAUUAUUAUUAAUUAUUAUUAUUAUUCUUAUUAUUCUUAUUGUUAUUAUUAUUGUUACUAUUAUUAUUAUUAUUAUUGUUAAUUAUUAUUAUCAUUGUUAUUAUUAUUAUUAUUAUCAUUGUUAUUAUUAUCAUUGUUAUUAUUAUCAUUGUUAUUAUCAUUGUUAUUAUUAUUAUUAUUAUUAUUAUUAUUGUUAUUAUUGUUAUUAUUAUUGUUAUCAUUGUUACUAUUAUUACUAUUAUUAUUAUCAUUAUUCUAUUUAUUAUUAUUAUUAUUAUUAUCAUUAAUCCAAACUCUCAAAAUCUCAUUAUUAUUAUUAUUAACUCAACUUUCAAAAUCUAUUUAUUAUUAUCAUUAUUAUCAUCAUUAAUCAAAACUUCCAAAAAUCUAAUUAUUAUUAUUAUUAUUAACCCAACUUUCAAAAUCUAUUUAUUAUUAUUAUUAUCAUUAAUCCAAACUUCCAAAAAUCUCAUUAUUAUUAUUAUUAUUAACCCAACUUUCAAAAUCUAUUUAUUAUUAUUAUUUUCAUUAAUCCAAACUUUCAAAAAUCUCAUUAUUAUUAUCAUUAUUAACUCAACUUUCAAAGUCUAUUUAUUAUUAUUAUUAUCAUUAAUCAAAAUUUUCAAAAAUCUCAUUAUUAUUAUCAUUAUUAACUCAACUUUCAAAGUCUAUUUAUUAUUAUUAUUAUCAUCAUUAACAAACUUUCAAAAAUCUAUUUAUUAUUAUUAAUUCAAACUUUCAAAAACCACAUUACUAUUAUUAUUAUUAACCCAACUUUCAAAAUCUCAUUAUUAUCAUUAUUAUUAUUUCACACUUCCAACAUCUAUUUAUUAUUAUUAUUAUUAUUAUUAUUAUCAUUAAUCCAAACUCUCAAAAUCUCAUUAUUAUUAUUAUUAAUUCACACUUUCAAAAUCUUUUUAUUAUCAUUAUUAUUAAUUCAACUUUCAAAAUCCUACUAUUAUUAUUAUUAACCCAACUCUCAAAAUAUUAUUAUUAUCAUUAAUUCAACUUUUAAAACCUUAUUAUUAUUAUUACUAUUAUUAUUAUUAUUAUUAUUAUUAUUAAUUCGAUUCUCAAAAUCUUAUUAUUAUUAUUAUUAAUUCACACUUUCAAAAUAUUAUUAUUAUUAUUAUUAUUAUUAUCAUUAAUACAGACUUUCGAAAUAUUAUUAUUAUUAUUAUCAUUAAUUCAACUUUUAAAACCUUAUUAUUGUUAUUACUAUUAUUAUUAUUAUUAUUAAUUCGAUUCUCAAAAUCUUAUUAUCAUUAUUAUUAAUUCACACUUUCAAAAUAUUAUUAUUAUUAUUAUUAUUAUUAUUAUUAUUAUUAAUUCAGACUUUCGAAAUCUUAUUAUUAUUAUUAUUAUUAUUAUUAAUUCAAGCCCUCAAGACCUUAUUACUAUCAUUAUUAUAAAUUCAACUUUCAAGAGUCUAUGGUCUCGCAGUUCAAUUUCCUAAAGUCCGUUUCUCAUGUUCUUUAACAAAUUUCGAUCUAAUAAUCGGAGCUCUAAUCUUCAAAAUUUAAUUCCAAAUACUCCAAUUUUCAAAUAAGCUCCAAUAAUCCAGUUUUCACUCGAAUAGUUUUUAAUCACAUUUCAGUUCCUAAAUAAUUUUCUGAUCUUUUUUAUUUUACAUAAGCAAUAGUGAUUCCUUCAUAAUUCUAAAACAUGGGAUUUGUGAGAUUAGCUCAUGAACGAUAAAUCGGGCUUUGUUGGGGGCCCCAUGUUUGAUCCCUUUUUGACUGUCAAUUAUCGUGCUUAAUGUAUUUCGCUUGAGCUUCGUUUCGCACUCCGAUAUGCAUAGGCUAUAUUUUGUAUUCAUUAAUUGUGCACUAAUUCCGUUUCUUAAUAGCGCGUUGUUGUUUGCUGCCCAGGUACGCAUUCACUCAUUCUGAUCAUACACUGUACAUAUUCUGAUUCUCAUAUAUGCAUGAUUGAUGUGAGUAUCCAUUGACUUUCUUAUUCGAUUGCCACGUCAGUUUCACUUUAUUAGUAGAGACCCGACUUUAGGGACUUAGAGGGGUGCUACGGUCUCUACCGUACCUUCCCGAUAAGUAACCUGACCCCCGAACCCGAUCCGGUUUUUCACAGACCACCUUUUCCAAAACAAGGAGUCACACUUAGGGUUUUUCUUUCUUAUUUUGUUUACCCUUUAAAAAUAAAACAAAAAUAAGUGGUGAUUCCAAGUCAUUUUUUUUUUAACCAAAUAAAAUCAUUUUUCUAACAAAAAUCGAGCUCGCCAUCGAAUGGGAAACGCAUGAGCCGAAAUACGGGGUCCACACAAUGUUAAUUUGAUGACUCCCAACACUUGUCUAUCAAGGAGAUUUCAAUCAACUUUUAACAUUGAUUCUAAUUUCUAUCUAAGAAUGGGCAUAUGAAACUUUUUACCAUGAGAUAAUCUUUGAUUUACGUUAUCUAAAAUGCAAAAUCUACACCAUUGAACUUAUUGAUUCCAGGCCUAGAUCCAUUUUCUUUGGUCACUGCUCUCACUCAAAUUAGGCUCUGAUACCACUUGUUAGGAGAAAAUCCUUACUUAUGAGAGCAAUAACACAAAAAAAAAAAAAAAAAGACAAUAGAUAGAAAACAAACAAGAUUUAUAAUGGGUCACAGUCAAUGUAAGGGUUGCAUCCACUUUGCUGCUAUAGAAAUUCCACUAUGAUUAGAAAGAAAAAUAUAGUAUGAUCUUCGGCCUAAUACCACUCCUUUAUUUUCACACCCUUGUCCUAAUAAGGGUUAACCUAAUCCAUUAUAUAAUGAGAAAAUUAUGAUAAACUAAUACAUAUGUAGAAUACCUAAAAUACCCUUUAAAUAAAAAAUUAGGCUUCACGCAAUUUAACACAAAGAUCAAACUGUAACAAAGGUCAAAAGGUCAAAGCUUGAUGGCACAGUUACUUCUAAAUCAAUAAUAAUCACUAAUGGUUUUAUCUAAUUCUGAAUGUAACCUUCAUUUCUUUUAACUUAGUGAAAAAAAAUAUUUAAAUGCCAUGAAACAUGAAAGAAUUAAUCAUAAAAGUACUUUAUUAGUUUAUUUAUUUGAAUUUUAUUUAAAUAUAUUUAUACUUCUAUAAUAUUUUAAAAAUAAAAAUAAUUCUCCAUUAUAUUUUUAAUUAUAGGGAGAAUUGUGUUUUAGGCCCAACUGGCCUAAAAAUUAACAUUUGGUCCAUAUAACAUGCAUAUUUAAGCUCAAGACCCAAACGAAGUAUGAAAAUUAAGAUGAAGGAUAUUGUCCUUCAUUAAUUCCUAAAAUACCCUUAACCCUUACAUAGACACAAGUGAGUGUGAAUUUCAAUUUUUUUUGUGUUUUUUUCCCUUUUCUAUUCCCUAUUAAGUAUUACUCAUUUCUAAUCUUUUUUUUUUUCUUCCAAUCUAUAUUUCUAUUUUAUAUCAAAUAAAAAGUAAUAAUGUUUUUUUGUUUUUCAUUUUGAAAGAUAUUGAAUCUUUUUUCUCUUAUUAUACGCAAUGAUAAAAAUUUUGGGAUUUUUCAUCCAAAUAUUUUUUAUCUUUUUGUAUUUAUCUUUUAGUUUAAUUUUUCAUUUUUUAUUUUAAAUUUAUAUUACCCUUUCAUUUAUAUUUUUCUCUUAUUUUUAAUUAUUUUUUUAUAUUUUCUACAUUAACCAUAUUUUUAAAAAAAAUUAAAAUUGACUAUCACUUCACUCUAUUUUAUAUAUAUAUAUAUAUCCUUUUAGCUUUUUAAUUUUUAAUGUUUUUAUUUUAAAAUUUUUAAAAAAGAUAAAUUUAUUGAAAAAAAUAACUAAGAUAUGAAAUUCUAAUAUUAUAUUAAUAAUUUUUUUUAUCUAGAUAGACUAAUGCAAAGUAUUUUGAUUCACAACAAGAAAAUUGUCAAUACAAUUGUUUAGUAAAACUUUAGAAAUUAAAUUUCAAAUAAAAUAUAUUAUAUAAAAUUUUAUCUAAAAAUUAUUGAAAGUGGUAUUUAAUUUUUUUUAUUGACUUUCAAACUUAUCUAAUUUUUUACUUGAAAGGUAAUAGAACAUGUUUACAAAAAAUAUUAGUUUUUCAUUUUUUAAAUAAAUGAGUAUAAAUAUAUUAAAAGAAUUAAAGAUAAUCUUAGUAAAAAAUUUGAUAAAUAUGAUUAUAAUUUUAAAUAUAGAUUCAUUUGGAUAAAAUUUCACAAAAAAAAAAAAAAUAGUGGAAAGAAAAAACAUUGCUAAAACUACAAAAACAAAAUAUGCAAUUACAAAAAUUUGAUGAUGAAAUUUAAAAAUAAAAUUCAAAACAAUUCUUGAGUGAGAGAAUUUGAGUAGGGAAAAAAUCUUUGAGUGAAAAAAAAUGGGAAAGUUUCUCAAAAUCACUUGAAAUCCUUAACAAAAAGUAGUCUUGUACACCCUUGUACAAUUAGUAAAUUUAUCUCGUACAGUUAGGGUAAUACCCUUGUACAAUAACUCAAAUUUCAUACAUCAUCUCAUGAAUAUCUGACAAUAGGUCAAUUAACCAUAUUUGAAUUGGUUUGGUUUUAAAAGAGAAGAAAAAUUGUUGUAUGAUUUUGUUUUACAAUCAUCAUAAGUGAGGUACCUAUUCAAAUGACCAUAUACAAGUUAGAUAAAGUGUAUGAGAUGAAUGUAUGCUUAAUAAUGUGUGUAAGGAAUGUCAUUUAUCAUCGGUAAGGGGAAAUAAACAAACAAGUUUUUUAGAAUCACUUAAAAUCUUUCAUAAAUAAUAGUCUUGUACACCCUUGUACAGUUAGUAUAUUUGUCAUGUACACUUAGUGUAAAUACCUUGUACAGUGACUCAAAUAAAACUUUAUUUUAUAUUAUUUUCAAUGCAAAAUGUAAUUAAAAAUAAGACAAAGAAAUUACUUAAAAACUAUUAUUUAAGCCAAAUUUAUUUAUUUAUGUAUUUCCUUUUAUUUUUGGAAAUAAAGAAAAAAAAUAAAAAAUUUAUUUAACCAUAAGAAAUAUGAAUAUAAGAUCAGUUGGAAAAUUUCAAAUUUAUUUAUUUAUUUCAUUUUAUUUUUGGAAUUAAAGAAAUAAAAAAUAAAAAAUUUAUUUAAUCAUAAAAAUAUUGAUAUAAGAUAUGUUAAAAAAUAGAAAUAACCCCAAAUUUAUUUACUUAUUUUAUUUUAUUUAUUUAAAUUAGAAAGUAAUUUAUUUUAAUAGAUUAAAAUGUACACAAUUGAUUUAUUACUUUGUUAAUUAUGGAUAUAUUAAAAUUUUCUAUUAGACAAAAAAUAAAUAAAGAAAAUAAAAUUAAAAAGAGUAAUAAAUAUAUAUAAUUUAGUUAUUUAAUUAUUUUUCAUGUAAAAGAUAGUCCCACAAAAAACACAUAAUUGAUCAAUUUCUUUGUUUAAUUGUAAACAUAUUAUAUUUUUUUAUAUUAUUAAAUAACUAAUGGAAAAAAAUAAAAAUGGAUAAUCAAUGAAUGAAAUUUAAUUCUUUUUAUUAUAAUCAUAUAAAAAAAUAUUACUAAACAUGGUUUUCAAUUUUUAUUUUUAAAAAUAGUUUUCAUUUUUUAAUUAAAUGUUUUUUCAAAAAGAAAAUAUAAAAAAUAUAAAUCAUAUUACUAUUUUUUAGAAAGUAUUUUUUAAAAUAGUUUUUGAACAUAAUUUUUCUUUUUUUAUAAUUUAAAAUAGAAAAUAAUGCUGAUUUUCAAUUAUUUAUAUAAAAAAAUUUAAAAACAAUGAAAAAUCCAAAUUGUUAAAAUAGAAUUAUUAUAAUUGCAUGAAUAGUGGUCCAAUAAAGACAAAAAACUUAUGUGAAAGGUCAUUGGGUAUUUUAGUCCAUCACUAUUUUAUAUCCUUAAAAGGUAAUGUAUAGAAAUUUGAAGGAUAUAUUAGUCUUUUAACAUCUUAUAUCAUUUCCAUCAAUUAUGGAAGUUAUAUGGACCAAAUAUUAAUUUUUGAGUCCAGUUGGGCCCAAAACAGAAUUCUCAAUAAUUAUAUUUGUUAAUAUUAAAUAUAUUUGAUAAUUCUAAUUUUAAUUUAUUUAUUUUAAAAAUAAAAUACGUUUAGAAAUUAUAUAACAAAAAGAAAUUUGGACUUUGUUAUGAGUUUCUAAUAAGUGAGACAAUUUCACAAAGAAACAAAAGUUAUGGGUGAGUAACAGUUAUUUUUAUUUUUAUUUUUUUUUAUAAUUUUUUUUUUAAAUAAUAAUAAAACCAACUUAUCUAGUAUAAUUUUUAAAAUUAUUUUCAAAUUAAAAAUAAAAAGAUUAAUAAAAAAAAACCAUAACUAUUCAUUUACCGUGACUGGGAAGGAAAAAAAAAAUUAUGCAUGUGGAGUUGAUUUGGGUGAGAUUUGUGUAUCCCUCUUCAACUCUCAACCUGUCAGAAAGCUUAAAGAUUAGAGUAUGAGAUGUGCACAUGCCUAUGAAGGUGAAUUAAGCGCAUAUUUAUUAUAUUUAAAAGACUUAGAGUACAUUUGGAGUGCUCCUACAGACCACUUUUAGCAUAAAAAACGUUUUUUAAAAAUAAAAAUCAAGUGCUGAUCAAAAUUUUAAAAAUAUUUUUAAAAAUUAAAAAAUUACUUAUAGUGCUUUUUAAAGAUGUAUUUAGAAUUUGUUUAACAAUGAUUUAAAAUAAAUUUUUAACAUAAAAAACAUUUUAAAAAAAACAAGCAUUUAACAAAAUUUAAAAAAUACUUUUAAAAGAUUAAAAAAUCACUUACAAUAAUUCUUAAAAAAUACCUCAUAAGUGAUACUCUCAAAAACAUUUAUAAAGAAAAUAUUUUUAUUAAAAACACUUCAAAUAAAAUCACUAUUAAAUACAUUAUAACACAUAAUUAUUUCAAAAACAUUUUUAGAAAAAACACUUCCAUUAAAACUACUCUCUACACAAAAACUAUGAAACACUUAAAAAUUUCGUUCAAUUGCAAUGAUGGAGGCUGCUUGACCCCAAAAUAGGGUCUUUGGCUCAUGGUUCCUUGAGGUGUGAACGUGAUGGUUUGAAUUCAAAGUUGUCUUGUUAAAGAAAAUAUGGUGGAUUUAUUUAUUAGGGUGGUUGAGAUUUGAGACUUAUACAGUUUUUUAUUUUUUAUUUUUUUAUAUUUGUCUUUUAUUUAUUUUAUUUACUUUGAUGAUCCAGAAGAUGUCGGCUAGAAUUAAAUAUGGAAAAAGAAAAAUAAUUCCCAAAGGUGGGAAUGGGAUCUCCCAUGCAUGUUCCUUAUGUUACAAAGUUAGGUAUUGGCGAACUGAUGGUUAGGAAAUAAGUUGAUAAAGUUGACUAGGAAAAAAUCAUUCUCAAAGGUGGGAAUGAGAUCUUCAAUGUUUAGGGAUGAUAAUGAAACAGAUUUUUUUUUUUUUUUUUUUUGUAUCCACCUCAUCCUGCUCCUAAUGGGAUAAGUUUUAAUUUUAACUAAAUUGGUUUAAAUUUUUUUUUUUAAAACCCGGGGGCGGAUUCAAGACGAGUUUGGGUAUUGCUUUGUCCUGGCCCGUCUUGCCCCGCCCCGAUUAUAUAUAAAAUUAAAAUUUAAAAAUAAAUUUAAUUAAAUUUUACUAUUUUUAAUAUAUAGAUAAUAAUAAAAUAUUUUUAAUAAAAUAAGCUAUAAAAAAUAUAAUAAUUUAAUUAUUUAUAAAAUAUAUUUAUUUUAAUGUAAUUAAAAAGUUUAAAAGUAAUUUUUUUAAAAAAAAUUCAAAAAAAGUUAAAUGGGGUGAGAUAGGACAAGUUUAAUUUUUUAAAUGAGAUAAAAAUAAGAAUUAUUUUUACUAAAUGGGGGACGACCCAUCCCAAACCCAACCUAUUAUCAUCCCUAUACAUGUUCCUUAUAUUAUAAAGUUAGGUAUUGAGAAUUGAUGGUUAGGAAAUAAGUAGACAAAGGGCAGGAUAUGAAUAUUUAUUUGAAGGGAUCAGGAGACAAAAAGAAAUAAAAAAAAAACAAAACAAAACAAAAUAAUAGUUGACUUAGCGGUAAUUAUGAAUUGACUUACAGUAAAUCCCUUGGAAAGGGAUCAUAUCCUCAUUCUAGCCAAAUACUUGUUUUCAAAUGUCUGGAAACUGUAGUUUGAGGGUGUUAAUUUUAUACUUAAUUUUGUAGUUAGAUGUAGAUGCUUGUUAACAUGAGAAUAGCAUACAUUAAGCUCAUUUUAAUUAGGAUGAAAAAUGGGGACCACCCAUGUGCUCACCAAACCCUUCCUUUUCAUCCUCCAAUAUUUUGAAGUACUAGAAAAAUGCUAAAUCCGAACAUUUGAAUUAUCCUAAUUCUUCUUCCUAGUUCUCCAAGCUUUCCUUGAGUUUGAGGUGUCAAAAGUUUUGUCCAAUUCCUUCAAUUCUCGUUGUACUUCUCAUUUCACUUUGAUAUUCCUUUGAAACUUUUUACAUAUCAUUGUCAUAUAUGGUUGGAAUCCUACAACUAAGAACCCUAAGUUAACAAAUCCAUGUCAUUAUUUUAAUCAUAAUAAUAAUAAUAAUAAUAAUAAUAAUAAUAUGGAUUUGUUUAUAAGAGUGGUGGAGACAUGCCUUUUUUUUAUUUGCCCUUUUGACUUUGAGUUGGGAAAAUUUUCAUUUUCCCAUAAUUAGUGUUUGUUCAAUAAUUUUUCUUUCCCUUUUUUUACUUAAAAUAUAGAACAAAAGUAAAAAUAUUUAGUGUCAAAUUUGGAUAUGCUUACUACUUUUUAUUUUAAAAUAAAAAAUUUAUAUAUUAAAAUAAAAUAUUUUGUACAAAAAAAUAUAAUUUACUUUAUGUUUUCAAGAAUCAUUUUAAAAUUUGAGAUAAUAAGAAUAACACCUCAAGUUUUUUUAAACAUUUUAUAAAAAUUAUUAUGUUUUUUUUUUUUAAAGUUAACCUCUAAAAGUUUAUGUAUUUUAUAUAAAAGUUAUUACUAUUUUAUGAUUUUAAAAACAAAAAAUAAGAAUGAUGUCCAAUAAGACUGUUUAUAAUUUAAUUUUUUACUCAACUUUUCUAUCAAUAAUCUAAUAAUAAAGCAAAUUUCUAGGUUAUGCUUUCAUCCUACUUUCCCUUCUUUAUUUUCUUUCUAACAAACUUUAGACAUGCAAUUAUUACCUAAAAGAGUACUUUUUAAAAAAAAUGAAUAAAAGGGCUCAUCACUUGAUUAAUCACACAACCUGCGGCCUCAAAUACAAAACCUUUGUUCCUCUCUUUUCCUCCUAACCCUAUUGUUAGUUGUUACUAAGAUCAUAAGUAAUAAUACUAUCUGUAAUAGGGAUAUUAGUGUAUUUUGAAAAUUUUAAAUUACAUAAAUUGAAUUUAGAGAUAUUUAUGUAUUUUAGAAAUUAAAAUAAAAAUAAAAAAUAAAAAAUAAAAAAUAAGUAAGAUAUUUUUGGUCCCCACCAUAUUAUCCAAAAUUGAAAAGACAAAAUAGAGAGCAAAAAAAAGGGUCUUUAUAGAACUUUGAUUGGAAGGGUAAGAGAGGAGAGACUUUUAGUAUUUGUUUGGUUCUACAAUUUAAAGAUGUGAAUUAAUUUUUUCAAGAAUUUGAAUUGCUUCUUCCAUGUAAGGGUUAAUUAUAUAGUGAGUUAGUGUUUAUACCUCUUUAUUUGUUUUCAUCUAUUUAUUAAAAUAUCAAAGUAUUUAAAUUCCAUAGAGUGGAUCAAGUAAUAUUUUUCUAAAUAUGCUAUGAUUUGUCAUUUUGUUUAUAAAAUAAAUUGAGAAUAUCAUAUGAUUUGUUUGAUUAUUAUGCAAAUGAUUUUAACCUUCUUCGAGGUAAAGGUUAAUAAUGUAGUGAGUUAGUUUAUGUCUCUUUAUUUGUUUUCAUCUAUUUAUUAAAAUAUCAAAAUAAUUAAAUCCAUAAAGUGGAUCAAGUAAUAUUUUUUUGAAAUAUACUUUAAUUUGUUCCUUUGUUUAUAAAAUAAAUUGUAAAUAUUAUAUGAUUUGUUUAAUUAUUAUGCAAGUGAAGUUUAUCUUUUCAAUUAAUUAGAGUGAUUUUGGAAAUACAGGUUAUCAAUAGCCCUAGUCAAUAAGGAUAAAUGGUUGACCUUUAUUAUCUUUGAUGGGAUAAAUUGUUGACCUUUAUUAUCCUUGGUGGAGUAGUGAUGUAAUGUAGCCNNNNNNNNNNNNNNNNNNNNNNNNNNNNNNNNNNNNNNNNNNNNNNNNNNNNNNNNNNNNNNNNNNNNNNNNNNNNNNNNNNNNNNNNNNNNNNNNNNNNNNNNNNNNNNNNNNNNNNNNNNNNNNNNNNNNNNNNNNNNNNNNNNNNNNNNNNNNNNNNNNNNNNNNNNNNNNNNNNNNNNNNNNNNNNNNNNNNNNNNNNNNNNNNNNNNNNNNNNNNNNNNNNNNNNNNNNAAAUAUUAAGCGUUGCAUCCUAUACUUCUAAUGGAGGGGACAAUGGCUUCUACAAGUGAUGCGGAUGCAUCUGAUCUGGAGAGCAUUAGGCGAAAGUUGAUGAAGAGCUUGGCCAGCAGUUGGGAAGAAGUUGUACAGAUAUACGAGCAAGAUCCAAGAGCUCACAAGAUCGAGAUCGGCCCAUCAAGGAACACAGCAUUGCAUAUAGCAGUUUCAAGUGGGCGAGAAGGCAUAGUAGAACGACUAGUGAAGUCGAUUGCGAAGAAUGGUAACCCCGUGGAUGUUCUAUCUAUAAGGAAUAGAGAUGGGAACAAUCCUCUUCAUUUGGGGGCCUCACUGGGAAGCAUUUCCAUGUGCAGAUGCAUCACUGAUGAGUGUAAAGAACUGUUGGGUUACCGCAACCGAGAGAGAGAUACGCCCCUUUUAAGGGCAGCUCGCUAUGGCAAAAAAGAUGUUUUCCUCUGGUUGUAUGAUAUGUGUGAAGGCAACGCACCCCAUGACUACUGCCAGAACCGAUUUGGUGAAACCAUUCUCCAUCUUGCCAUUGAAGGAGGAUACAUGGGUAAGCAAUAUUAGAGUGCUAUUCUUCAGUUUACAUGUUCUAUUUCUUAAUAGUAAUAUAAAUCAUAGGCAUGAAAGUAGUCAGUUGUAAUGAACCUCUAUUAGGUGCGUACGCCUCUUUGGUUGGGUGCCUCCAAAGAAGACAAUAAAUUUGGUUGAUUCAUGGUUGUGGUGGACAGAUUUGGCGUUUCAAAUUAUUUGUAAGCAGGAAGAUCUCAUGGAUUCUGUUGACUGGCAUCAAAUCUCCCCUCUGCAUGUCCUAGCUGAGAAGCCUACUGCAUUCAGAAGUGGAAUUCAUCUCGGCUGGUUCAACAAAAUCAUUUAUCACUGUAAGAUUCUCCAAACCAAACCAAACCAAAAUGUUUGCAAGUAUCAAACAGAGAUUGAUGCAUGGGGCUGAAUUGAAUCUAGUGCAUGCAUCAUUUGUUAUCUUGUAUCUGAUAUCUCCAUCAAGGCCAUAAAUUUCUGACAGUUCCCCUUGUUAAUCAAAUUGGAAGGUAUUUCUGUUGAAGAGCUCAUCCCUGCAGGGACUUCCAAAGCAAAGAAGAGCUUCUUUCAAGAGCUACGGAAGCUGAUUAAAUUACCAGGUGGGAGCAGGGAUCGGUAGCUUAAUCAUUUGGAAGAAAACAUUCUUGUAGCCACUGACCGCUUUCUUGAUGUUGCAACCAUAAUUUGUUGUUAUGGUAGUUAAUCAGUAUGAGACAGUAACAAAUUAAUAUGGUUCACUUGCAAAAGGAAUAGAAGCAUUUCAGCAUAGGAGAUCUCAAUCCCUCUUUUAAUAUAUUCUUGCUCAUGUGUGCUGUGACCAAGCUUAUACCUCAAGUAACUAGUGGAAAAAAAAAAUGCAGGAAAAAUUCUAAAAAGCACUUGGGAUCCAGAGAAUUCCUGAAGAAGGGCAAGGAAUUGAACAUCAUGGUGAGUGUGGGAUCUACUUGAUUUAAGCUAAAGCACUCUUAAAAGCAACUUCAAGUAAACAGUACUGAUUUCUUUACCUUUGUAUAGGUCAUAAUUCAAGGAAUAUUGGAGCUCAAGGACACAAACCAUUCCACUCGAAAUAUGGCAGAUGCCUGAGGUUCAUCAAGCUUUUUGUAUCCCAAGUACUGCUGGUUAUCAUCUCAGUGAUGCCAGGUAUAACACCAUAUUAAUCACCAUCCCAAGUUUCUCUAGUGUUAAUUUCCAAAACAAUAGAGGUUCAAUGUACGUUCUUGUUUCAUUGUGGAUACAUGUUUAGGUUCAAGCCAGAUAAGGAAGCUAAAAGAGAAAAAAGAGAUGCACAUGUGGUCUCUUCAGAUCCUGAACAAACUACUUGAAUGUGGUGCAAGGUGUACAUAUGAAAUGAAUCCCGAAACAUACUUCAAAAGGGGAAGAGGUAACCUCUAUGUAAACCCUGUUUUCAUUACAAAUAAACUUCUUGGUGUGUAUAUAUAUAUAAAAAGAUGUGGAGACAAGGUAACCAACCACUUUCUCCAAUAUCUUUAACUGAUAUUCAGGAGAGGCAGAUCUGGUGCAGAGCAAUCACAACUCAAAUUCUUGAAAUUUUAACCACUGUUAUUAGAUGAUUGGUCCAUUGGGCUUUCUCUUGUAGUUGAAGAAUGAGUUUUCUUAUCUUUGUAGAUUGGGGGACGACAGCAAUAGUACUUGCGAAUGGUAUCGUGGAAAUGGUAGAGAAAAUCCUGCAACUGUUUCCUAUGGCCAUUCAUGACACCAGCGACUUUAAUCAGAACAUAGUGCUGGCGGCAGUAGAGAAUAGGCAAUCACAUAUAUAUGACUUCUUACUCAACAGUAGUCAUCUUAUUGAUAAAGAAGGUGCAUUUCAAGCUGUUGAUUGUAACGGGAACAAUGCAUUGCAUCUAGCUGGAAAGCUUGCAGGUGAUGGCUACCUCCAGCGUAUCCCCACCAGCAUGUUGCAAAUGCAGUGGGAAGUCAAGUGGUACCAGGUAUGCAAAACUCAAGCUAAGAUUUAAAUUAGCUUAUGAGAAAUGACUCAAACCGAUGAAUAAUAACUUAAAAAGUAUGCACUUGGUUCAAUGCAGUAUGUGCAGAAUUCCUUGCCACCACAUUUUGUUGUUCAAAAAAAUUGGGACGAACCAUCACGUACCCCAGAUGAGAUCUUCCAAAUACAACAUCACGAACUUGAAGACAAAAGCAAACAAUGGCUAAAUAGCACCUCCAAUUCCUGCUCUUUCAUUGCAGCACUUAUAGCAACUGUUGCCUUUGCCUCAUCAGCCUCUGUACCUGGAGGGGUAAAGCAAGACACUGGGGAACCAGUUUUUGAAAACCAUCCGGCUUUCAGUAUUUUUGCAAUGGCAUCGCUAGUUGCUCUUUGCUGUUCAGUGAUCUCCUUGCUAAUAUUCCUCGCCAUUUUCAUCUCCAAGGACCAAGACAAGGAUUUUACUACGAACUUGCCAAGGAAUAUUUUAUUUGGUUUAACAUCUCUCUUUAUAUCCAUGGCAGCCAUGCUGACCUGUUUCUGCUCGGGAAACUUCUUGAUGCUUAAGGGCCAACUAAAAUAUGCUGCAAUUCUGGUAUAUGCACUCACCGGCCUGCUAAUGGCGUACUUUGUUCUCAAGCACUUUCCAUUAUUUAUUGAUCUUCUGAAGGCUACAUUUCGUA
rnacentral:lncRNA from 1 species